rnacentral:lncRNA from 1 species
GCAAACCUGGUAACUCUAUUGCACAUGGAAGGGCAUCGUUCGUACCAGAACUAGUAUUAUCCCGGAUGAGAUCUUUGUACCCGUUAAAGUAAUAGUAGUAGAUGUCGAAAACCGUGGCUGGUUGAAUCCAAAGCAGCACAUUUGGGAGGUGAAGUUCAUGUGCCACGUCCGCGGCCCAAGGGAGAAGUAUUGUGUAGACUAGGCAAGUAUAAGGGUGACCCUCGUUUGCACUUGAGACUACAAGGUCGGUGAUGGCUUGUGCUCCGCGGCGCCGCAACUCCGACCAGUAGUGGUCGAUGUUGUCGCCGGGCUUAAACCCGUCGUCGUACCCAUCAGAGAAGGGCGCAUAAGUCAAUCCAUCUGGAAUUGAGCCAUUGCCUAUGCGAUGAUGGGCUGAGAAACUGGUAACGAAGGUGACGUGCGCACCUGUAGUGUUGAUAAGGCGCUUGGCGAAUUGGAGGGAAGGGUUGAUGUGGCCUUGAGCCGGAUAUGUGACAAGUAGAAAGCGGUGUUGCACCAUGGCAGCGUAUGCGAUUGCGGAGGUGCGCGGUGGAGCGUGGAGUUGUUGGAAGUAGAAUAAGUAGGUACCUAGUUUACUGGUGGAAAAUUUGGUGCUGUGGGCUUAUUAGCUUAGUGAAGUAGAAAUUCUUGUGGGAGUACGUAUUCAAGGUGGGGAAUGCGGUGAGAGGAUGGUAAGGCUUAAAUAGGGGCUUGGGGGCAGAAAUGUUACGUUUGUGCUGACGAAUUGAAGGCGCUGGAGAAGGACAAUUGUAAUUUGUGGUCAUCUCGAUGCAUGCAUAUAAUAUUAUGGGUAAUAAUACUCUCACUACAUAUUUAUACCAUCAUUUGUAUUAUUUUUAUAAUAAUGAUGAGAUCCACAUGUUCUUGUGGAUCCUAUCUUUUGAGAGAUUAUACCAAAUGUGGUAAGUGUAGCAUUAUUCUUAUUUAUAUCAUAUUUUGUAAAUCAUAUGAUGUAAUUGUUGAUGAUUUGAUUAUUACUUAAGCGUUAAUUUUCGUGAUUAUUUUUUAUAAUUACACCUCACAUAAUGUACAAAUUUAGUCUAAAAAAUUAGUUUACCUAACAUUACUUUUUUAAAAUUGGUUUCAUUAAACUUCAUAGCACAUCACAUGGACUAAAUCCAAUCUAAUGUGGUAUAAUAUACAUAUUAAUCUAUCACCGAAAAACUGAUAAAUACACAUGUGAGUAACUUGACCAUGAAUAAUGUUAGGCCUCGUUAAGUUAGGCUUCGUAAUCGUCAGCGAGGCCAUGAAUAAUUGGGUUCCUACAAAGGAGCCUAUGCGGUUCAUCAUAGAUGUGAGCAACUUCACCUUGAGGUCUUGUCCUCAAUACUAGAAAAAAACUCAGGACCAAGACACGAUCUGAUGGUGGCACGCUUCCGCACCCUAAAACUAAAGUCCUAAAACUAAAAGGACCAAUUUUUUUUUUUUGUGGUCCUAAGCCGAAAGGAGGCGUGUUGAAAUAUGUUAUUACAUCGACACAAUGAAGGAGAAAAUAAGAGUUCAAAUAUCAUAAUUUUACUCCAAUUAAUAUUGAGGUUUUUUUGUGAUAAAAACCUCACACAUUAAACUGUGCAAGUGCUAAUUAACAAGUUUGAGACAAUAUCGAUAUUGCUGGAAGUUGAUCUUCAUCCCCUAUUUUUUAUAAUUUGACAAGGCGAUAUGAAGCGCAAAAUAAUAAGCAACCAAAUAGUUUUGGUGAAAUGGAAUAUGAAAUACCUCAACCGUGGGACUCAUACUCUAUUUUAUAUAAUCUAUUGCUUUAGAUAUCUUUCAUCUUAUAAGUACAUUAUCCUAAAUUCUUAAUCCUGGUAAGAUUCCUAGUCAGACUAACUUCCCUAAUUAAGCUAGAUGGUUGUAGUAUUGACUUCAGUCAAGCAUGCAUGAUGAGUGCAUGAAUUCACUUUCUAUUUCUCAUAAAGUUCAUAGUACAUAACCUGGACUAGUAGGUUUGACGUGGUCAGAGAGACGAGCGAAUUUGGUAACCACAAACUGAUUAAUACACACAUACAAAUUUGUGAUUUCUCCAGUUAAGGGCCUAGGGCCCCGUUUAUCAUAUGCCGAGUUUGAUUGGUCUAGCUGCAUCACACUAAAAUUGAUUGGUCUAGCUGCAUCACACUAACUUUCGUUUGAUAACAACGAUUGAUGACGUAUUUAUAGGAGAGGUGAGCAUGCCAAAAAGUACAAAAAGUGUGGCAUGACCGUUGUCACGAUUUUAGUAAUAGCUACUCUAGCAACAACACGCUUGCUUUGUGGCUAUUGCUCCCUUUUCUUGUAUUGCUGUUGAUUCUAAAAAUUAUCAAACUUACGUGACGUGCAUGCCAAGUAACUAAGAAUUAACUACGUCCUUUUUGUGGUUGAUGCGGGUGUGCCACCUCGCCGCCGAGGCACUAUUCUAAAAAUCCCCGUCUAGCGCCGCCUAGAUGCUAGGCGGCUAGUCACCGUCCCGAUUAAUACUUAGGCAUUUGAAAAUUAAGAAAGGAUGCCUGGACCUGCUAAGGUGCCCGCCCAAACCACCUAGGCACCUGCCUAACUUGCCUAGACCAUCCUAGGUUGCGAUUCACUUAGAUAGAAAAUAGAUGACUUUCAUUUUGUAUUUUAUUUUUUUAAUAAAUUGUAAGAAACUUGUUGAAUACACACAUUAUGUGCGUUGUUGAUGCACAAAAUCAGUGGGGACUUUGGUACAACAGAAAAUGUUAAGUUUGUGACCUUCACUAGAUUGCUCCGAUCACUAGUGUAGAUAAGUAUGUAAAUGGAUAGAGACAGAGAAGCAAACACAAGAUGUACGCGGUUCACCCAGAUUGGCUACAUCCACGGAGUAGAGGAGUUCUCAUUAAUUGUGAAGGGUUUACACAAGUACAUAGGUUCAAGCUCUCAUUUAGUGACUAGUGAAUGAUUUAGUACAAAUGACAUUAGGAAAUAUUGUGGGAGAAUGAUCUCCUUUUAUAGAAGAGAGUUUCUAGCUUUGUUUUGACAUUGACACGUGUCGUGUUGUGAUUGGCUUCUGAUGUUGACACGUGUUGCGCUAUGAUUGGCUUCGGAUGUGUCUCCUGGUUGGAGGGAAACUCUUCUGGGUCGUUGACGGUAUAACGUUGACCGGUACUCGGUAGUUUCGGGAUUGGUCAAGUAUGGUACAAACAGUGCUCCCCUAAGUUCUCGAGUGAGGGAAACUCCUCGGUUGGGGACUUGCAAGAUCCAAGCCGCUGAGUAAUCACGAAACUUCUAAGCACUGAAGUGUGGUAUCGUUUUCAUUUGCCUUAUUUGUCUCAUAGAUAGAUGUGGCAUCUUCUCUGGAAGUAUUUUUCCUCCAUCUAAGGGUGGUAUCUUUAACAGGUGGAGAUGCACAAGGUAAUGUAUUAAUUUCACUUGAAGCUUACUUGUAGUUUCAGACUUGGUCAAGCGCGAUACAAACCAUGUAGUAGGAGUUCCCCAAGUCGCCGAGCUAGGAGAUCUGCCUAAAGAGGUGACAGACAAGGUAAGCAAUUAGAGUUCUAAGCAAUCAGUCCCAGAUCAGGAGUUUGAUUUUGAGUUCUGGCUGAUUGUUCUCAUUCUCCCUAUCUUGCAGGCAGUAAAAAGGAUAAAGAGAAGAAAAAGGAGAAGAAAUAAUAUGAGAUACUUUUGCUUUUGAAGAAGUAACUUUCCACAUGCUUAUUCUUGAACUGGUUAGAGGGUUUUCUGGUUUCCUCUAGAGUAUAAGGCCGACUCAAGAAUUUGAGGGUCAAAACAAGUUUAUCAAAUCUAGAGUACAUUCAACCCUGAUGAUAUGGGAUACCCUUACUGUUGACAAAGUAGUGGAUGUGGCAUGGCGAGGCUUUGCUCUUUGGCGACGGUGUCAGCGAAAGGCUGUUGAAGCUUCUUGAGCUAUUCGGAUAGGGCAACGAUAUCGAGCUUAGAUUUGACUUAAACUCCUCCGUCUGGAUUAUGCGGUUCUGCAGGGGGUCGUGCUAUAGUGAUCUAUUCUAGCUCAUCAUUGAACCUUCUACUCCAAUCUUUUGCAUCGCAAAAGUGGUAUGCAACCUUUGCAUUUGAAUGGUCCUUCAGAGUACUACUUCUCAGCGACUCAUCCAUGCUUGGCAGCUUUAGUGUAAAGAGCCAAUAUUGUAUCAACUGUUCUAAGGUAUUUUCUGAAAAAAUUCGCGACCUUGACAACAGUUGAGGAUGAGUACUCAAGAGCAAUGCUAGGUGAGCAACUAGGCAAAGGUUCCGAGCAAUCAGUUCUAGAUCGGAAGUUUGAUUUCAGGUUCCAACUGAUUGCUUUCUUUCUCCUUGUCUUGCAGGUAAGAGCAAAGGCAAAUGGAAAGGCAGGGAAAAAGCAUGAUAUGAGAUACUCUUGCUUUUAACUCUGAUGAUAUGAGAUACUCUUGCUCUGGUGUAGCUUAUUUGCAGAGGUAUUAUCAGGGGGAAAUGAAGCUGAGUAUAUCGAGAGACUCUGCUGAGAGUGCCCUCUCGGAUGUGAAGAAAAGUUGAGCAUUUUUUUUAUUUGCAGGUCUGCCUGGCUGUGGAUGAUGAAGGUCGGCAUAUAUAGGGAUUGUCCCAACAGCGAGUAGUAACGUUGUUCAUUUAUCCUUCUCGGUUAUAGCAAUGUAGUGGGAGUUGCAAGAUUCACAUGUUUUAACUUUGUCAGAGCACUUUGAAAAAGUGGUCUGUGGUAUCUGAAAAUCUGAUGUUGAGUGUGAAGAUUGCAGAUAAAUUUUAUCCAAGGAAAUCUGGCUCUCGAAGUUUGAAGAGUGGUGUCUUUUCGAUUUUCGAACAAGCAAUCAUGUUGGGGAUCUGACUUUCGAGAUUCAGAGAGUGUUGUCUCUUUGAUUUUUGAACAAGCAAUCAUAUUAGGGAUCUGGCUCUCGAGAUUUAGAGAGCGGUGCCUCUUCAAUUUUUGAGAAAGCAAUCCUGUUAUGAGUCUGGCUUUCGAGAUUCGGAUAACGGUGACUUUUUUAUUUUUGAGAAAGCAAUCCUAGUGGGAGUCUGGCUCUCGAGAUUCGGAGAGCGGUGAGCCAGAGAUUCGAAGAGCGGUGCCUUUUCGAUUUUUGAGAAAGUAAUCCUGGUGGGAGUUUGGCUCUCGAGAUUCGGAGAGCGGUGCCUCUUCGAUUUUAGAGCAAGCAAUCCUAUUGGGAGUGUUUUCUCGAUGUGGGUAAAUGUUAGGCAUUUUUGCCAGUCUGCCUUGCCACGGAGCACAGAGGUUGACACAUAUAGGGACUACCCAUUUAUCAAGCAGUGGUGUUGUUCUUUUACCCUUGUGGGUAAUGGUAGGGUAGCUGGACCUUCAAAAUUUAUGUGUCUAAACUUUGUCAGAGAUCUUUGGCAAAGUUAUAUUUGGUACCUAAGGAGUUGAUGUUGCGUGUGGGGAUUGUCGACAUAUUUUACCUAGGAAAAUCUGCUUCUCGAAAUCCGGAGAGUAGUGCCUCUUCAAUUUUUGAACAAACAGCCCUGCUGCCCUUUCGUUUAUAGGGGCACCAAUUGUGUGCAAGAAGUAUGUUCAGAGAGUUAUUGCUUGUAGGAAUUUUUCCCUUAUUUUCGUACUUCAGAGAUUUAUUGGACCUCAUUUCUCCUUCAUCAUUUCUGAAAAUGUCUGGCCCAUCUGACCGUCGUUUUGACUUGAACUUUGGUGAAGAGGCAGCCAUGCCUCCUCAAGACAAUAAAUGGCGCUUAUCCUUCUUAUCCCCUACUGGUCCUCUUACCGUUGGGGACUCUGUGAUGAAGAAUGAUAUGAAAGCUGUGGUGAUGGCCAAGAACCUUCUCACUCCCAAAGAUAACAUAGUACUUUCCAAACGGUCUAAUGAGUUGGCUGUUAAGGAUUCUCUGGCUUUCUGUGUUCAGUGUGCAGGUUCUGUGUCUAAUAUGACUUAACGCCUAUUUGCUCAAACCCGCCAAGUUGAAUCAUUGGCGGUUGAAGUGAUAAGUCUCAAACAGGAGAUUAGAGGGCUCAAUCAUGAGAAUAAACAGUAGCAUAGGCUCACACAUGACUAUGCUACAAACAUGAAGAGGAAGCUUGACUAGCUGCAGGAAUAUGAUGGUCAGAUUUUACUUGAUCAUCAGAGGUUUGUGGGUUUGUUCCAAAGACAUUUAGUGCUUCCGUCUUAUGGGGCUGUACCGCUUAAUGAAGCUCCAAAUGAUCAACCUCCCAUGCCUCCCACUUCUGGGGUUCUGCCCAGUACUGAGUCUCCGAAUGAUCACCCUCUGGUACCUUCUCUUUCAGGGGCUCUGCCGACUGCUGAGACUUCUCUUGAGCAACUUUUGUGAAGGCUCCCUCUUGUUUGUUUAUUUUGAUUCAUGUAUAUGUACAUAUUUGUAACUUAUCGGAGAUAACAGUAAAUAAACUUUGCUUCUUUUCAACGUAUUGUGUUAAAUACACCAAAGCCUUCUUAACUAAGUUCUUUGAAUUUUUUCUUUUGUUGAAGCUUGUAUGUUGAAGCUUGUAUGUUGAAGCUUGUAUGUUGAAGCUUUGUGAGUGAAGCAUGUAGGUUGAAGUAGUACUCCCUUAAUUUCUCGAGUGAGGAAAACUUCUUGGUUGGAGACAUGAAAGAUCCAAGUUACUGAGUAGUCGUGAACCUUCUAAGUACCAAGGUGUAGUAGCAUAUGGUAGGAGUCCCCCAAGUCUCCGGUCGAGGGAGUUGACGUAGAAGGUGUCUUGCUAGUAGUCAAGUUUCCAAAGUAACAAAACUUCACUGUUUUCCUUUCUAAGUGGUAGCCCAAAACUCCUCAUUCAUAUAUAUUUGUUAUGAAAGUUGUUAGGCCCAAAGAAGAUGAGGCCUAGGCCCUUUUUUUUUUUUGAAUUUUUGAAUUUACAAAUUUCUGAAUAUAUAUAUAUAAGCUUUUUAGGUGAUGCUUUGUAGGUGAAGCUUUGAGGUUGAAGCUUUGUUGGGUAUCAUAAAUUGAUUUUGCUUCACAUUAUCUAGAUCAAAAGUGUGUGAAGCUUUUGGCAUUUGUAGUUGAAGCUUUGUAGGUGAAGUUUGUGUGUUGAAGCUUUGUAGGUGAAGCUUUGAAGUUGAAGCUUUUAUAGGUGAAGCUUUGGACUUGAAGCUUUGUGGGUGAAGCUUUGGAGUUGAAGCUUUUGUAGGUGAAGCUUUGGAGUUAAAGCUUUAUAGGUGAAGCUUUUGCGUUGAAGCUUUGUAGGUGAAGCUUUGGAGUUGAAGCUUUUGUAGGUGAAGCUUUGGAGUUGAAGCUUUGGAGUUGAAGCUUUGUAGUUCAAGCUUUUGCGUUGAAGCUUUGUAGGUGAAGCUUUUAUGUUUAAGCUUUGGAGUUGAAGCUUUGGAGUUGAAGCUUUUGUAGGUGAAGCUUUGGAGUUGAAGCUUUGUAGGUGAAGCUUUUGUGUUAAAGCUUUGUAGGUGAAGCUUUUGUGUUGAAGCUUUGUAGGUGAAGCUUUGGAGUUGAAGCUUUUGUAGGUGAAGCUUUUGUUGGCAUCAUAAAUUGGUUUUGCUUCACAUUGUCUUAAUCAAGAGUGUGUGAAGCUUUUGAGAAUUAUGGUUGAACUCCAUUGAUGAAGCUUUUGUUGGCACCAUAAAUUGGUUUUGCUUCACACUAUCUUGAUCAAGAGUGUGUAAAGCUUUUGAGAAUUAUGGUUGAAAUCCUUUGAUGAAGCUUUUGUUGGCACCAUAAAUUGGUUUUGCUUCACACUGUCUUGAUCAAUAGUGUGUGAAGCUUUUGAGAAUUGUAGUUGCCCUCCAUUGAUGAAGCUUUUGUUGGCACCAUAAAUUGGUUUUGCUUCACACUGUCUUGAUCAAGAGUGUGUGAAACUUUUGAGAAUUGUAGUUGCCCUUCAUUGAUGAAGCUCUUGUUGGCACCAUAAAUUGGUUUUGCUUCACACUGUCUUGAUCAAGAGUGUGAAACUUUUGAGAAUUGUAGUUACCCUUCAUUGAUGAAGCUCUUGUUGGCAUCAUAAAUUGGUUUUGCUUCACACUGUCUUGAUAAAGAGUGUGUGAAGCUUUUGAGAAUUAUGGUUGAACUCCUUUGAUGAAGCUCUUGUUGGCACCAUAAAUUGGUUUUGCUUCACACUGUCUUGAUCAAGAGUGUAUGAAGCUUUUGAGAAUUGUGGUUGCCCUCCAUUGAUGAAGCUCUUGUUGGCACCAUAAAUUGGUUUUGCUUCACACUGUCUUGAUCAAGAGUGUGAAGCUUUUGAGAAUUGUGGUUGAACUCCUUUGAUGAAGCUAAUGUGUUCACCUCAUCCCCCUCCAUUUUUUUUCUUUUUCUUUUUUUUUUGAGGGGGAGAGAGGGUGCUGUAAGUUUGAAAUUUGAAAACUCCCUAGCUUGUGUGGAAGUUUGAAGAUUUUCCAUGUGGGGUUUUCUCAUGGUUUGAAUUUUGAAUUUUGAAUUUCUUUGGCCAUGUUGAACCCUAUAAGAAUGAUAAGUUUCCACUCUUUUCAUUGUCUUCAUUUGCUCAUUUUGUAGUGAUUUUUAGAGACAGUGUGCUCUUAUAGUUGAGAGGGAUUCCGCAAUUGCUUUGCACCAUCUUCAGGUUGGUAGUCUUCUCCAGUAGAUCACAUGCUUUCAUUCUUGUUGAAUUGUUUGACUGUUCAUGUAUUUGGUUGAGAAUAUAAUGAACUGAUUGAGCUUUUCUCCAUGCCCUAGGAACUUCCUUAUAUUUUGAUUUUUCAUGUGGUGAUAGAGUUUGUUUCUGUUUGUUGCAGAUGUCAGAGUCUGGAAGUCCUAGUGAUAAGGGCUCCCUUAACUCUAACUCUAGGUUUGAGCUUGCAAUGUUGGAGUCUUCAGGGCCUUUGUUAGAGUCAUGUACAAAAAAUUCGAGAUUGGGUGAUCUUCACAGUUAUCAAGCCUUCUUCAUGUCAGUGGGUGAAGGGGUUGUUUGUAAUGCCAUACCUAUAUUUCGUCUGAGUUCACAACAGACCAUUUAGUGCAAAAAUUGUUAGAUAGCGAAAAGCAGCUUAAGGCCCUAAGGCAGUCAUGUAGUAUCCCCCGUAGUGUAGGAAUGCGUUUGGUGCAUUAUGAAGAAUUAUCCUCUGAACCUCCCAAGGGUCAUGUUAUGUUCUAUACCCAGAUAUUAUUGACUUUAAGGGUGAAGCUGCCUUUGCACCCGUGGUAGCAAUGGAUGCUGUCUUUCAUUGGAUAUGCGCUUGGGCAACUCUACCUUGGUUUUUGGGAUACCUUAAUCGAGUUUUAUAUUAUUUGGAUGGAAUGUGGAUUAGGUGAGCCUUCCUUUCAUCAGUGGUGCUACUGCUAUAAGAUGAGCCCGGUGAAAGCAUGCACCGGGUAUGCCGAGUAUGCAUGUCGGAGUGAGAGAGAGCAUAUUGUCUUUGGUAAGAAAAAGGCGUACUGCACUUGUUAAAUUGUUGGUGCUUUCUUUAUAAUGAUUGGGAGUAUGCUAAGGGUGUCACACCUGAGCGACGUGUUCCUACUCACUUCCAGACUGUAGGUUGUACUGUAUCCAUUGUUUGCAUUAUUUGCUGUUUGUUGUGAUUUUCUCUUGCUUCUAACAUUUUUUUUCGUGUAGUGACGCGAAUGACCAUCAAGCUGUUCGAACGGAAGCUAACUGACGUAGAGAAUGUGUUGAGGGUGCCCAAAGAGGAUAGACAUUUAGGCAAACUACGACCCUUAUUUCGAAAGUACGGUUUCCAAACCCUAGUGUCGGAGUGCCAGAGACGAGCAAGUAAGUUGUAUCUUUUAUUUCACUCCUUUUUUCUUUACAAAGUUGCAUUCCUUACUUUGAUUGUUCUUAUUCAGUGAAGAAAGUGGGCAAGAAAGGGAAAACUGGCGCCAAGAAAGGGAAAACACCAAUGUUAAUUCUCGUAAACGACAUUUUGUUUCACAAGGGAGCUCGUAAGCAUCGGGUGAGGCCAGCCCCUAAACCUAAGUCGCAAGAGGAGGUCAUCAAGAUUGCUACCUCAAAGAAGGCUGAAGCUGAGGUCAUCGGGUGUGCUACUGCCAUAGUUGUAGAGGAGAAGAGACAAUUGUUGCCUCUUCUUCCUACCAUCAAUCCUAUCUUUCCUCCAACCAUGGAGUCUGCUGACCAAGAAGGUGACCCUAACUUCAGCCGUAAGAGGAAGUACAAGCAAGAGGUUGGCAGCAUUCAUUGGAAGGACUUGAAGGUUGCCAUGCAGCCAAGUAGUUUUAGGUAUAUUAAUAAUUGCCUGGUAGGAAGUUCAUCCACUGUUAAUGAGCUUGGCGAGCCGCUAAAUGCGAAUGAAUCAGAUCGUGACCGGAUGAUGAAGCUAUCUUCUUAUGUAAGUGUUACUCUGUCAUUUCUUUACUUUCUCCCCUCGUUUUCCUGAUAGUGACGAUCAUCUUGUCAUAUAGGUCAUGACCGAGUACGAUGACAGAUUACGAGAGGUCGAGCGAUACAAGGCAAAGUUUAAAGAGAAUAAGCAGCUUGUGAAUGACGCCAGAAAAACGUGCAAAGCUUUGGCUGAUGCCAUCCGCCUUAAGGAUCAAAACUUUGAGAGUUUGAAGAGGCGGAAUGGUGAGAACGUGAGGCUCAAGAAACAAUUGGAAGCGACUAAGGAACAGUUGGAGACAACCAUCCUUGAGGUUUCCAAGGUUAAAGGGGAGUUGGAUAGUGCCUUGGUUGAGGUUUCUGGGCUGAAGAGGAGUAUCAUAACUGAGAGGGAUGCUGCCGUGCAUGAGUUCUUAGGUUCCCAGGCCUUUCACGAUACCUUUAGACCUCAUUGCAUCCAGGCGGCUAAUUUUGACAAAAAGGAAAUUGAUGGUCGUCCUUGAGCGUUAUGACAAUGGAAGCAUUAUUCGAAGGUACUGUGAUGAGAUGGAUGAGUAUCGACAAAAAGGUGACGCCUUCGUCCUCGCAGUUGAUCUUAGUAGUGAUGAUGACUCUGAUAAUGAGGCUAGUAUCGGUGAGUAGUCUCAGGAGAGGGAGGAUGGUCAUGGAGAUGCUGAAGAAAGUGGUGAUGGCGAUGGGGUUGAAACGUAGAGUGAUAUUGUCAGGGGUUCGGCCUCAGAUAAGGAUGACUCGUAGUGCCCUCUUUUUAUGCAUGUACUCUGGAUGUACGAGUUUGUUGUUUGUGUGACAUAUGCCAUGUACUCUGGAUGUACUAGUUUGUUGUUUAUGUAGCAUGUGCCAUAUACUCUGGAUAUACUAGUUUGUUGUUUGUGUGGCACGUGCCAUGUACUCUAUAUGUACUAGUUUGUUGCUUGUAUGGCAUGUGCCAUGUUGUAAGCCUGAGAGCUUUUUAUUUAUAGAUGCUUACGACUUUGUGCCAUAUAGUUUGAUGUUAAUUACCAAGUAUUUGUACUAUCAUUGAUGAAUGCCUGGCUAUGUUUGAGCAAAUCCUUUGUUUGGAUAUAAGCCAUAACUUGGGUAAAAUUGAAUGAAUAUACUGUGGAGCUGUUCGUUUAUUUGUAUAGUCUUGUUGAAAUAUACUUAGACUUUAUUUCCUGUUGGGAGCAUUCAUGUUGAAGCUUUGAACCUAAGUGUUUUCAUUGCUAGGAAUGUAAGAGGAUUAGGACUGAGUUGUCUAAAUCACCUAUUUGUUGAAUUCAUGCCAAAUGGUCUUCGUUACAUAGGAUGUCGAACAGCUGAAGCUUAACACUUGUACAAUGUGAGUUUACUUGUAAUAGUACUUCAAGUGAUCAGCGUUCCAUAGAUGGCCAAUGAUCUUGCCAUCGGAGCUUAUAAGCUUGUAGGAGCCAAGGCGACUGAUGCCAACAACUUCAAAUGGUUUAUCCUAGUUUGGACUAAGUGUUCCUUCACUCGAGACUCCGUCUUAGAGUAAUAUUUUCUUCAAUACCCAGUCCCCCACUUUGAAAGAACGAGGUUUGACCCUUGAGUUAUAGUAGUUGGAGAUACGCUGCUUGUAGGCGACAUUCCUCAAGUGAGCCUGGUUUUUGUGUUCCUCGACUAGAUCUAAGUUGAGGGUAAGUUGUUUGUCAUUUUUGCUUUGCACGUAGUUCUGGACUCGGAACAUUCUUGCUCAAGCUCAACUGAGACAACUGCCUCUGCACCAAAGGCAAGUGAGAAUGGGGUUUCUCCUGUUGACAUUCAAUACGAAAUACAGUAUGACUAAAGAACUUGGGGUACAAAUUCUGGCCAACAACCUUUAGCCUUGUCCAAGCUGGUUUUCAAAGUUCGCUUGAUUAUUUUGUUGAUGGCUUCAACUUGUCCAUUAGACUAGGGAUGAGCUGGGGAGGCAAAACAUAAGUUGAUGUUGAACUUAGAGCAGAACAUCAUGAACUUAUUGUUGUCAAACUGUUGCCCGGUGUCAGUGAUUAUCGCAUUAGGAAUGUCGAAUCUGCAAAAGAGGUUAUUCCAUACGAAGUCUUUUAUUUUUGCCUCAGUAAUAGUUACCAAGGGUUCUACUUCGACCCACUUUGUGAAGUAGUUAACUGCAAUGAUUGCAUAUCAGACCUUGCCCUUCCCUGCAGGCAUUAGGCUGAUCAAAUCAAGUCAUCAUUGAGCGAAGGGCCAAGGGCUGAUUAUAGGAGUGAGCGGCUCGGGAGAGGAGUGAGGAAUGGUUGCGUAGCAUUGACACUUAUCACAUGAGCAGAAUAUUUUGAUGGCAUCUUGGUGGAGUGUUGACCAGUAAUAUCCUUGGCGAAAAGCCUUGUGUUUUAGGGAUCGAGAUCCAGCAUGAUCUCCGCAGACUCCUUCAUGUAUUUCCCUAAGGACAAUUUCCGCCUCCGCAGAUGUAAGGCAUCUUAGGUAUAGUAGGUUAAAACCCCGCUUGUAUGAGUUGGUCAUUUAUGAUCAAGUAACGGGUAGCUUUGUAUUGAAUCUGCUUAGCUUGGACUUGAUCAUUUGGGAAGGUGCCAUACGCAAGGAAUUUAUAAAUCGGGGUAAUCCAACUAUCCCUUUAUUGUAAGUUGCACACUUCCGCGGCCAUGGUGCUUGGUGCUGCCAACAAUUCGACCUGAAUUUUUCUCCUAAUUUUGUCUUCCACUGUUGAGGCGAGGCGAGCCAAAGUGUCUGCAUGACUGUUUAUCGCUCAAGGAACUUCGGUGAUCUGGUAGUGGAAGUGCUUAAGCAACAGUUGUGUUUGUUCAAGAUAUGCUGCCAUUGAGCUAUCCUUAACGUCAAAGGUGUUGGUGACUUGGUUAACUACCAAUUGGGAGUCACUGAAGAUAUCAAUUAACCUCGAGGUGUUUGGCCAAACGUAAGCCUGCUAGGAGAGAUUCAUAUUCGGCCUCGUUGUUCGACGCCUUGAAUUUGAAACGAAGAGCAUACUCCAUCGCCACUUUGUCAAGGUAGUAAGGACUAGUCCUGCUCCACAACCAUGUUGGUUGGACAAGCCAUCAACAUAUAGACUCCAUGCUAGGGUUGUUGGUUCUAUUUUAUGAGCUUUCGAGGGUAACAAAGCCACUGCUUUAGGCGUAGAAGCAAUGUCAAUUGGAUAUGUGAAGUCGGCGAUGAAGUCUACCACUGGUUAGCCCUUCUCAGCUGGCUUUGGUUGGUAGGAGAUGUUAAACUCACUCAAUGCUAUCGCCCAUUUGAUCAUUUGCCCCGAAGUGUCAAGACUUUGAAGUAUCUGUCGAAGAUGAUGAUUGGUAAGCACGAUGAUGGAGUUUGCUUGGAAGUAAAGGUGAAGUUUUUUAGUAGACAUGACCAAUGUUAGAGCCAAUUUCUCAAUGUUGAAGUAUCGUGUCUCCGUAUCUUGUAAGGUCUUGCUAGUGUAGUAGACAUACUGUUCGACAUUACCAUCAUUUCAAAUGAGAACAGAACUUACUACUGAAGCCGAUACCGAUAGAUAAAUAAUGAGAGUGUCACUAACCUCUGGUUUGGAGAGCAAAUGAGCUUUACUCAUGUAGUCCUUGAGGUUCUUGAAUGCCUCAGCACAUUCAUCAGUCCAUGUAAUGUGCUUCUUAAUUCCCUUAAGUGCUUUGAAGAAAUGAGCACAUCUGUUUGUGGCCUUAGAGAUGAACCUGGUUAAGGCUAUCACCUUGUUAGUAAGGCUUUAGAUGUAUUUUGAAGUUAUCGGUUCCUUCAUGUUGAGGAUUGCUUUGAUGUUCUUGGGAUAGCUUUAAUGCCUCGUUGGCUAAUCAUGAAGCCUAAGAAUUUGCCAGAGCCUACGCCAAAAGCACAUUCGUUGGGGUUCAACCUCAUUCGAUACCUCUUCAGAAUGGUGAAAGUUUCAAAUAGGUUGGUGAUGUGUUGGUCAGCAUGUUUACUCUUGACUAACAUAUCAUCAAUGUAAACUUCCAUGCUCUUCCCAAUCUGUUCGGCGAACAUCGAAUUGACUAGUCUAUGAAAAGUCUUCCCUGCAUUCUUUAGGCCGAAUGACAUGACUUUAUAGCAAUAUAGUCCCCUGUCAAUAGUGAAAGCUAUGUUCUUGGUCUGAAGGGUUCAUGAGGAUUUGAUUGUAUCCUCAGUAAGCAUCCAUGAAGUUCAGGAGUUCACACCCUACUGUAGAGUCUAUAAGUCUGUCAAUGAGAGGAAGAGGAAAGCUAUCCUUCAAGCAUCCUUUGUUUAGGUCGGUGUAGUCGACACAUAUUCUCCACCAGGCCUUUUGGAGCAGAAGACUUUCUUUGGUUGGAUUUUUUUCUUAACAAAGACCACAUUUGCUACCCAUGUUGGGUAAUUGACUUCGCGGAUAAAGCCUAUGCCUUUGAGUUUUCAACUUCUGCCUUCAUUGCUUCGUAUUGUUCAAUGUCAUAAGAUCUUCGCUUAUGUCUCACCAGCUUGUUCUUAGGGUCAAUACUCAAACGAUGACAUGAUAUUGGGAGAGAUGUCUGGCAUGUCCUCGUAUGACCAGGCGAAGACCUUAGUGUUCUCUUGCAAAAAAGAAAUCAAUGCUAACUAAAUGGGUGGUGACAAAGUGGUGCCAAUCUUCACCAUACGAUCUGGAUAAUCUUUUGAGAUAGAAACCUUCUCCAGCUCUUCAGCAGGUUGUGUUUGCUGGGUGAAAGAGUCAUCUCGAGGAUCGUCGGGGUUGACUGUUGCUAUUGUGAAGAUCCAAGUUGGCUUCAUCCGGCUAGUCUUUAUGACUUGGUCAUGUAUAGAAAAGGUUUCCUUGGGCACAGGCAGGUGAUGUUGCUUGACCGAAGUGUUGUAACAUGACCAUGCACUAAAUUGAUCUCCUCUGAUGUAACCAUUGCCAUAGGAGGUUGGAAAUUUCAUCAACAACAUAUGUGUGGAUACCAUAGCCUUGAGAUCAUUGAUGUUUGUGCGUCCAAAGAUAACAUUGUAUGCCGUUGGGCAAUCAACCACCAAGAAGUUAGUGGUAAUGGUAGCUGUGUGAGGGUCUGUACCAAUGGUGAAAGGUAAGUGUAUGCUCCCUAAAGGUUGCACGAUAUCACCGGAGAAGCUUAUCAGAGGAGAAAUCGAGCGAUCGAGUAAGUGUUUAGCUACAUUAAGUGCCCUGAAAGCUUUAACAAACAUGAUACUGACCGAAACCCCUGUGUCUACCAGGAUUCGUCGUACUUAAAAGUUGGGUAUGUGAGCCUCCACGAUCAAUAAGUCGUUGUGAAGGUAGAUGAUACCUAUUUCUUCCUCAGGGUAGAAACAUAUUGGAUCCCAGUUAGGCUUUUGAUACUUGCCUCCUUUGAUGUCUUCCACGUGAAACACUUGGUGGCCUAGCCUUAAAGCUCAUUUGCUGUUUUUCAUGGCCCUAUUAGAAGAUUCAGAUAUGGGUGUGCCGCCGCUUAUGGAAUAUAUCAUAUUCACUUAGCGUUGGUUACGGUUAUCCCUUGAAGGGUGAAAGAGGAAUUGAUCAAUUUUUUCUUCAUGCGCCAAAGCUUCAAUAUGAUCAAGAAGGGUGAUACACUUCUCGCCGUCAUGGCCGUUAUGCUCGUGGUAGCAGCAAAACGUGCCGUGUUCUUCGUGGGCUUAUAACCUGACUACCUCGGCAUUGGCUUCGGUAUCAGGUGUGUUAUGUUGGGGUAAAUGACAACGCAUGUGGCGUUCAAAUGUGUGUAUGUCUCAUACCUCGGGGUAGGGCCUGUCCUGACACGUGUUUAGCCCACUGUGUUGACUGCUUGAGGGCGGGCAUUAUCGUGGCGAUACCCUUGGUUAUCACGAUAGUGUCCCUUACUUCUUUACUCAAAUGAGACUGGUGAGGAUGGAAAUCUUUCCUUUUGCCCUGAAAUUGAUAUGUCUAUUGACUUAGCGAAGUAUUAUGUAAGGUAAGGGGAGGCACCGCUGCCGUUUGGAAGGUCGAGGUCUUCUCAUUUGGUUGGAUUUGGCUUCUACUCCCUACUUGCUGAUAAAGGGUGGCUGUGGAGGGUUUCCCUUGUUAUGUCUUUGCCUUGGCGGAGGCUUAGUUGUAAGCCUGUGCCAUGACCUUAGAGUAAGUCUUCCAAGUGUUGUCAUUGAUCAUGUACUUGAAGAAACAAUCACGUAGGCCUUGAUGGUAGUCUUGUCAUCUGCCUCAGCGCAGCGAGAAUACUUAUGGCUGAAACGACCGGCAUACUCUCAUAGUGACUCAUCCGACUUCUGUCGAAUAGUGUACAAGUCAUCCGUAGAGUGUAAGCGAUCGGUCUGGAAAAUGUGUUGAGAAACAAAUAGUUUCCUCAAUUCCUCAAAUGAGUCUACCGUCUCAGUUAGAAGACGGCAAUACCAGUUUAAAGCUUCGCCAGAGAGGGUGGAAGGGAAGAGAAGACAUCGUUCUUCGUCGGUGUGCAUCCGAUAUGCCAUGGUAGACUCAAAGAGGUUAAAGUGUUCAAUCAGGUCCUCCUUUCCAGUAUAGGGUUGCAAGCCAAGCUUCUGCUUUGUCUUUGCUUUAAGGGGGUGUCGAGGAUCCUCCUUGUAAGAGGGCCAGGCCUAGGUUGGUUCCAAUCAGGUAUCUCAGCUUGUCGUUCGGCCUUCAACUUGUUUACUUCCUUAAGGAGUUGUAGGACAAAAGGGUCCUGAGUGGAGUCAUGUACCAUUGGAGCUUUCUGUCGUAAAUCUCCAUCUCCUCUUGGAAGUAGGAAGGUUUGAUUAAGAGCAUGUGAUUUUUUCUUGGACUCGCUGUACUGACUUCCAAGGUUUGUCUGUCGAAACAUCUCUAAAUCCCCUAUACCUUCGUGUUUCUCUAGGACUUGUUGCCCCUUCCCCAAAUUGGUAGCUGGCCUGGGACAUGGGAGGGGACCGAGUAUUUCAGAAACCCUUGGGUCAUGGAUCUUUAAGCUUACAUGGAAGAGAUUGUCUCGACGUUGCUUUAGGAAGUCUCGACAAUCGUGAAAGAUGGUUUUCCAUCCUUCCAUUCAUUCUGUAAGGAGGUGCCUUCCUCCACUCCUCCUGCUUCGGGUCGAAAUAGCUGGGUUAAGAGAAGUCUCAUGUUGGUCACCAUUUCGAUGAGUAGCUCGCUCUUCAACAGGAAUACCCAUGUCGAGGGCAAAUGACCCUCCGUGUUGGGAGGCACCCAGUUGAUGGUUGAUUUCCACAGGGGUGAUGAGCUCAUGUGUUUUAGUAUAUCUAGCCUCAUGGAGCAUUUCAAAGACCUUCUUAUACUGCUCUUGGAGGAUCUCAUUCUUCAUCACCAUCUUGGUGUUCUGAGACUCCAGCUUAUCGACUUUAGCCUGUAGAGCAAACUUCUUUUGUUCAUUCUUUCGCUACUUCGCACCAGGUGCGAAAGGGGUGUCGUUCUACGUGUUGUGGCUUCCUUCGCUCCCCAUGUUGGCGAGGGAUGCCUGGUCAAAAGAGAGUGUACGAAUGGUGGAAACCAGCUUGACAAAGCUGAAAAGAGUAGGAAUAAGUGCGAUUCCCACAUACGAUGCCAAAUGUUGAUGCACAAAAUCAGUGGGGACUUUGGUACAACAGAAAGUGCUAAGUUUGUGACCUUCACUAGAUUGCUCCGGUCACUAAUGUGGAUAAGUAUGUAAAUGGAUAGAGAUAGGGAAGCAAACACAAGAUGUAUGUGGUUCACCCAGAUUGGCUACGUCUACAAAGUAGAGGAGUUCUCAUUAAUUGUGAAAGGUUUACAUAAGUAAAUAGGUUCAAACUCUCAUUUAGUGAGUACUAAUGAAUGAUUUAGUACAAAUGACAUUAGGAAAUAUUGUGGCAGAAUGAUCUCCUUUUAUAGAAGAAAGUUUCUAGCUUUGUUCUGACAUUGACACAUGUCGUGUUGUGAUUGGCUUCUGAUGUUGACACGUGUCGUGCUAUGAUUGGCUUCUGAUGUCAACAUGUGUCGCGCUGUAAUUAGCCUUCUAGUUGAAGGGAAACUCUUCUGGAUCCUUGACGGUAUAAGGUUGACCGAUGAUCGGUAGUUUCGGAUUGGUCAAGUAUGAUACAAACAUGCUUGAAUAAAUAAACAACAAGGAUAUGAGAGUUGUUUAACCAAACUAAAGGUCUCCUAAAUUAGGCAUGUUCUACCCCUCCAAUGAUGUUUAACCAACCUAAAGGUGUCGCCAGUUGUUGACACAAUGAUAUUUAACCAAAUUGAAUAUUUGCCAACGGGGAGGGGUUAAUGAGUAAUUAGGAUUUUUUUUAGGUUGUGGAGGGUUUCUCAUAAAAGGGUUGAUUUGUGUGUGAGCGACUACAACUGAGGAAGGAAUGCCUCUAGACCUAGGGCUCUAAAACCUAAACACAAGGUUGCUUAAUUCACUACGAAUUUCAAGAUAUUUUGCCCCAGGUUCGGCAACUUCAACUAUAUCCUUGAAAAUAUAAGUAGCCGAAUCGGUAUUAGGCUAUAAGGACAAAGAUAUUCAAAGGAAAUGAGAUCUUUAUGGUGAAUGUUGUUCAGCAGUCUGAAUGUCGAACUUCCAAAUGCACUUGCAAGUAACUACUCAUAGAACAUCUCACUUCGCUGGGGGAGCUAAUAAAGUGACCGCUUUCAGCGAAAGUAUCAAAGACUCUUCAUUGGUUGAGACUUGGAGGUAGCCAACUAAACCAAAAGUAGUACUAUUUAACCAAAUUGAAGGUACUCCUAGGCCGACUAGUUCAAUGGCUCCAAUGACUUUUACCUGAACUAAAUAUGUUUCCGAUUAGCCAACCCAAUGAUGUUGCAACGAAGUAAACAUGUACCGACGGAGGGAUUAGGAUAAUUGAUAUUUUUUUAGGGUUGUGAGAAAAGUUUCGAACAGAGCAAGGUUAUUUUCGUAGAGCGUUUGAGUUGUUUGUUGAGUUGAAGGAGAAUUUUCACGUUGCAGAGCCUCUCAUAUUUAUAGGACGACAAUACUUUAGCUAACAAGUUCCGAAACCAAUUCGAACUGCAGCACGCUCUUGGAGCUUUAUCCCAUUUUACUUGCUAAAUAUCUGAUGCUUAAGUCCAGAUAACAUCUCAUGAGAAACAAUUCUCAUUUGGGGUCAUGUGCAUGAUGAGGCCUACUUCCCUCCUAAGAUGGGACUCUAUCAUUAGUUACAUGGAAGAUAUCAUAUCCCUUGCCCCUACAUGUUGCAUGCAUAUCCACAUAAGUUACAAAUAACAAACCUAUAUGAUGUGCUUCUCACCGUGCCCAUCUUAAUAGUCAUUUAUCUUCUUUGAAUUUGUAGAAUUGGAAAGCAAUCACAUUGCCCAUAAACCUCAAAUGCAGCUUGUGCUUCAAAAGAAAGUCCAUAUAUUGGAAGUCUUGGACAAGGUUGUCUUUUAUUUUUCUUGUGUUUAGCACUUCUUAUAUAGUGGUCAACUUCUUAAUUCAAGGAGCUGCUGUUAGCUUUCCUAAACCUACUGUUAGCUUUCCUAAAGCUGCUGUCAGCUUUCCUAAAGCUGCUGUCAGCUUUCCUAAAGCCACUCAUUAUGGCAUAAAUUAAGGAAGAAGGGAUAGCCUCCUUAUAUUUGCCUGUAGAGUUACGUUGCAGAUAAGAAAAAUAAAUACAAAACAAUCUUUAAAAAGCAAUAUGGUAUCAGAGCAGGGAAAAUAACCUGCUUCUGCAUUACUAUCAUCCGAUCUUAUUCAACCUUCAAUAUGGCGAAAGAAAAUCCUUCUGGGUCUGAAGCUGAAAGUUCACAGGUCAUUUCCUCCUUGAAUGUGUCUGAGAUGGAUGUCAACCCUAAUCAAAGAUUAAGCUCAGUCUUGUUGAAUGAGUUUAAUUACUUGCCUUGGUCAAGAGAAGUAAGUCUUGCCCUAGGUGGAAGGUCUAAGUUAGGGUUCAUAAAUGGAAGCAUCGAAGUUCCUGAUGCUUCCUCUUCAACUUAUGAAACCUGGCUUUGCAAAGAUCAGCUAGUUAUGUCAUGGCUCUUAAAUUCCAUGAAACGUAAACUAGCUUAAAUAUUCAGUUAUUCUGAAUCAUCAUUCAAGCUAUGGGAGACUGUCAAGGAAAUGUAUAGCAGUGAGAACAAUGCUGCACGUAUGUUUCAAUUAAAGAAUGACAUUUCCAACCUGCAACAAGAAGGAAAGCCCUUUGUACAACUUUUAGGCAGCAUGAAGAGCAUGUGGAUUGAGUUGGAAUUGUAUCGACCCCAUAUAACUAAAGCGUAUGUGCUAUUGAAGAAGGCAGAAGAAGACAAGAUAUUCCAACUCUUGUCAAGUCUCGAUGCAGAAUAUGAAGACCUACGAAGCCACAUACUCAUGAACACUGAACUGCCUUCCUUCACCAGUGUAUGUGCAACAAUCCAGCAUGAAGAAGUGCGAAGGAAAAUCAUGAACAUUGGUACAAAGACCAAUGUAUCUGAAGCUAGAGCCUAUCUAACCAACGAAAGAAAAUACAAAGGGAAGAAUCCACACUUGAAGUGCCAACACUGCAACUAUACCGGUCAUGUUAAGGAGACAUGCUGGAUUUUACAUCAAGAAUUAAAACCUGGUUUUAUGAAGGACAACAAGGGCUUUCAGAAGCUGAACCAAGCUACACACAGAGCCAACCAUGCAUCUGCCUCAACCUCAAAUAGGUCUGACACACUCAAAAGCUUCAUAGCAAAUCCGGCUGCACUCAUAAAUGAGUUUACAGCGUAUCUUUGAAGUAAGAAAUGAGGGAAUGAAAGUGAUCAAACGGUCAGUUUUGAAGAUGGAAACUCAACAGCUUUGCUAGGCAAGUUUGCUGGUUUCCUGGCAGACACCGAACACAUACCUUAAGAAGACUUGCAAUGUAUCAUGAAUUCAUUCAAAACUGCUCUUAAUGUAAAUAUGUUGCAUGAUUUUUGGGUUGUUGAUUCGAGUGCCACAUAUCAUAUGACCAACCAAGUUUCUACGUUUCAAAAAUUAUCAAAACCUUCUCAAGUGUUAACUGCAAAUGGUGAAAGUGCCGAGGUUUUAGGAAAGGGAAAAAUCAACUUAAUGUCGGAAAAAAUUGAGUCAAUGGCCUUAUAUGUUCCUUCUUUUCCUUUCCAACUCCUAUCUGUGAGAAAAAUCACCAAUACCUUGAAUUGUUUAGCCAUAUUCUCUUCUCACAAUGUCAUUUUUCAAGAUUGUGUCACCAAGAAGACGAUCGGUGAAAGGUUUUAUCUAGAUGGUCUCUAUUACAUAUCAAGGAGCAGUUCCAAAGGGUUUCAAGCCAAGUCCAAUUCAUCCCAAAAUAAUCAAUUGUGGCAUCAACGUCUAGCUCAUCCUUCUCAACCUAUUUUGUCUUCUUUGUUUCCAAACUUAGGGAAAGUUUUAAUUCCAUGUGAAACUUGUCAUUUAUCUAAGGCCACUAGAUUGCCUUUUAACUCAUCCUUAUCUAGGGCCAGUAAGUUGUUUGAACUUGUUCACUCAGAUGUAUGGGGACCAACGUGUGAAUCUUUUGACGGUUAUAAAUAUUAUGUAAUAUUUGUUGAUGAUUUCUCUAGAACCACAUGGUUGUACCUUUUAAAGUCUAAGAGUGAAGUGAUGGAAGUGUUUAAGGAUUUUAAUAAUCUUGUUAAGAACCAUUUCUCCUCUCAAAUUCAAACUUUAAGAUCUGACAAUGGCACCAAAUACAUGUCCCAUAUCAUGACACAAUAUUUGAGCAAUCAUGGCAUCAUGCAUCAAACAAGUUGUGUUGGCACACCUCAACAAAAUGGUGUAGCCAAAAGAAAAAAUUGUGACAUCCUUGAAAAAACUAGAGCAUUAAUGUUACAAAUGAAUGUACCAAAAAGAUUUUGGUCCCAAGGAGUCAUGGCUGCUGUCUACAUCAUCAAUAGACUUCCUAGCCGAGUCUUAGAUUUUAAAUCUCCUCUUGAGGUCAUGAAAGGAAGGAAAAUUGACAUUUCACAUCUUACAGUCUUUGGUUGUGUUUGCUUUACUCAUGUUCAACCACAUCAUCGAGAUAAAUUGGAUCCUAGAGCUCUUAAAUGUAUUUUUCUUGGUUAUUCAUCAACAAAAAAGGGAUAUAAGUGUUAUGAUCCUCAGCUAAGAAAAAUGAUUGUAUCUAAAGAUGUUCAAUUCCAUGAAACUAAUCAUUUUUUCAACAAGUCCUUUGAAACCAUAAGUCAGGGGGAGUGUAUCUUUGAUGUGUUUCCUCUACCAAGAAUCGGGCUCAAUAAUGCUUCAACAAGAAAAUGUUCCAAUAAUGAUGAACCACAUGCACCACCCACUGAAGGUAACAAUGAAGGUAUUCAUCCUGAUGGUUUUAUGCUUGAUGAUGACCGCGACAACCAAGAUAAUCUUCAAAGUGUGGCUGAAAAUUUGAACGAGUGUGAGACAACUGUACCAGCACCACGACGCAAUCCUAUGCAUAAUAGACAACCUCCUACAAGGUUUCAAGAUUUUGUCACAUACAAUCCCAAGCAUCCAAUCUCCAAUUAUGUGUCGUAUCAAAAGUUGACUCCAUCUCAUGCUGCAUUUCUUAGCACCAUCUCAAGUCACAGUGAGCCACAAAACUUUCAUGAGGCUAACAACCAAGAUGUGUGGAAAGAAGCAAUGAGAGAAGAACUCAAAACAUUAGACCUACACAAAACCUGGAGCAUUACCAAACUUCCAAAAGGUAAAAAGGCAGUAGGUUGCAAAUGGAUCUAUAAGAUCAAGUUUAAUUCAGAUGGUUCAAUUGAGAGGCAUAAAGGGCUGGUGGCUCGGGGAUUCACACAAACAUUUGAGAUGGAUUACAAAGAAACUUUUGCACCUGUUGCAAAAAUGAACUCAAUUAGGGUUCUAUUAUCCGUUGUUGUUAAUAAGGGUUGGUCCAUGUACCAAAUGGAUGUGAAGAACGCCUUUCUACAUGGUGAUCUUGAAGAAGAGGUCUAUAUGAAAUUGCCACCAGGGCAUCCUUAAAGCCAUGAGCAUGAUUUAGUGUGUAAAUUGCACAAAUCAAUUUAUGGACUGAAGAAAUCUCCACGAGCUUGGUAUGCCAAACUAAGUUCAGUGCUUAAUAGCGUUGAUUUCACAAGAAGCAAUGCAGAUUCAUCAUUGUUUGUUCGCACUGGAGCUGUGGGUAAAUUGGUUGUGUUAAUAUAUGUGGAUAACUUAAUAAUUACAGGUGAUAAUGCUGAAGAGAUUUCCAAACUCAUACAGUCACUUCAAUAAAGAUUUGCAAUUAAACAUCUUGAGGUGUUGAAGUACUUUCUUGGAAUAGAGAUGGCAACUUCUCACAAGGGACUAUUUCUUAAUCAAUGCAAAUACAUCCUGGACCUACUCAAGGACGCUAAAAUGAGUGAUGCUAAGCCUGCAAAUACUCCUCUCGAUAGCAAGCUCAAACUUGACUUGGGGGGCAUGCGACUCUCGGAUAUCAGCCACUAUCAGAGACUGGUUGGUAAGUUAAUCUAUCUAACAAUCACCAGGCAUGACAUCACAUAUUCAGUGAGUAUCGCCAGUCAAUUCAUGCACUCUCCCACAAUUGAUCAUUUGAACCUUGUCAAAAGGAUCUUACGUUACUUAAAAGGGUCCGUGGGUCGUGGCAUUAUCUUGAAGAAGAAUGAAAACACCCAAAUCAUGGGGUACUGCGAUGCGGAUUGGGCAAGAAAUGCAAUCGAUCGCAAGUCCACAACUGGUUACUGUAUCUUUGUCGGUGGAAACUUGGUCACGUGGAAGAGCAAAAAACAAACUAUCAUCGCAAGAUCAAGUGCCGAAGCUGAAUAUCGUGCAAUGGCAUCAAUCGCGUAUGAGCUGAUAUGGCUAAAGGGACUUCUAUGCGACUUAGGUGUGUUUACGACUCAACCUAUGAACUUAUUUUGUGACAACCAAGCAGCCAUGCACAUAGCAUCAAACACAGUGUUCCACGAGAGGACAAAACACAUUAAAGUAGAUUGUCACUAUGUACGUGAACAAGUACAGUCGCAGGUGAUUCAGACGCAUUAUACAAGAAGCUCCGAUCAAUUGGCCGAUAUAUUCACCAAACCCUUGGUCUCUCAUCAGUUUCAAAGGCUUCUGUCCAAGCUUGGAUCCGUCAAUCUUCUGGAUCCAAGUUGAGGGGGAGUAUUGGAAGUCUUGGACAAGGCUGUCUUUUAUUUUUCUUGUGUUUAGCAUUUCUUGUAUAGUGGUCAACUUCUUAAUUCAAGGAGCUGUUGUUAGCUUUCCUAAAGCUGACCUAAAGCUGCUGUCAGCUUUCCUAAAGCUGAUGUUAGCUUUCCUAAAGCCACUCAUUAUGGCAUAAAUUAAGGAAUGAGGGAUAGCCUCCCUAUAUUUGGUUGUAGUGUUACGUUGCAGAUAAGAAAAAUAAAUACAAAACAAUCUUUGAAAAGCAAUACCAUAACUCCAGGAGCUUUAUUUCUCCCCCGAGUCCAUCGUCAGUGAAACCGUGGUACACUAAAUGGAAAGAGGAUUCUUUUCGGAUCCUUUUGGUGGGGAUCAUAGAGAUCCUCAUAUCUUAACCGUUUGUCAGAUACUAUUUAUGUUUAAUUUUAAAUAAAAAAAUUCAAAUGAUUUCUAAUCGCAUGAUGUAUGAUGAAUGAUUAAGAUAUAAGAUUUUCACUAUUUGAAUCCGGAUAAGAUCCAAAUCCUGCUAAAGGAUAGGACGAGAUAAAAUUGUAUUGUGUUAGAGAAAGAGUCUGUCAGCUUUUGCUUUUGUUGCUGUCGAAAUAAUUUUAACAAAAACUCCAACAUAACUAUCAUGUAUAAUAAAACCAACGACAACAUCUUGAAGAAGUUAUUAAAAUCUCUUUAUUUGGGAGUUAUCCGACUGCUCAAAAUUUUGUUCAUUCAAUAGUUUUGAUUGCACGUGCGGGACAGAUGGGUCCAAACAAGUUUAUUCUAAAAGACAAAGAAAGAAACUGUGAAUAGCGCAUUCCCAAGGACAAAGAUAAUCUGCUCUUUCACUUUUCGUGCCCUCUCAUACGUUCUUGUUUUGUGUGAUCACGGUUAAGCCACGUCAACAUUUUAUAUUAUUUUUUUAUAGAGAUAAUAAGAUAAAAAUAAAUAGUAAUAUAAAAUAUUAACGUAACUUAUCCGUGACCACAUUAAUAGAAACGCACGAAAAAUAAGAGAGCAGACAAUCCUUGUCCCAUCCUUAACCGGUUUACUAUCGGUCACAAGUGAUCAUUUGCAUGUCUUACGAUGCUAAAAACAAACAAGAGUAAAUCAAAAAAACCCCAAAUUUUCAACAAUAUAGCGACGUAACAAUGCAUGGUUGCCUCUUGGUAUAUAAAGACAAACUACAGAAAAAAAUCUUGGAAUAUUCUCGAUCCCCAAACAUUAAAAAAACACGUCAUCCAUGACGAUAUCUGAAAAUUCAGAUUGCAACCAAAAUUUACAAUACAUCUUUUAGGGAUGUGGAUUCUCUCUCCUCCUAACAUCUCUUAUCUUUCCUCUUCUUCUAUUUGAAUGAUCACGGUUAAGUUAUGUCGUUAACAUCUUAUAUUGAUUGUUUUUAUAAAGACAAUAUGACAAAAAAAUAAAGUAUGAGGAGGGGAGGGAAGGGGAUGGAAAUACGAGGGGGGAGAAUCAUACUCUAAUUUUUAGCUUGUCUUUUGCUUGCAUAUCACGAAAAACACAUAUACACCUCACAGCAAAUGAAAUUUUAGCAUGUGUAUAUUCAUUAUGAAUACUACCAAAGAGUUCAAGAGGCUACAUGAAGGAUUUAACUAAGUUGAGCAGCUAAGCACUCAAAACUAGCUAAAGGGGAUGAAAGAAGGGGAAAAUGGUUAGGAUUAUGAUAAGUAAAUAUUGCAGUUCUUUUCUAAUGUCAUAAAAAAUAAAUACAAAAAUAGUUACGACUAUAAUAGGUAAAUAGUUCAUUGAUCAUUUUAUCGCGUAAACGACGGAUCCUUCGACACCUCAAUAAUCAAAUCUAAGCUAAAGGGGUAGAUGUUGUGAUUCUUCAUCAGUCCUAGCAAGGUUAAUGUGCCUAGAGGAAAAUAAUUUUUUUAUUUUGAAUGAAUGUUUUUAUUCUCGAGCAAUCUAUCUCCUACCUCCAAAUUUAUCAUAUUUUUUAUUUAUUCUUUCUAACUUACCUUAAAAAUAAUAACUCAUGUACUUCAAUUCAUUUCUUUGUACCAAAUGAGAUUGUAGUUACUUAAGAAAUGUUAAGGAAACUCUUUUAAAGUAUGACCUUUUAUGCACUUUACUGUUUCACAUCAAUUCUCGUAUCAACAUUUUAAAAUAUAAUUUUAAAAUAUAAGAUGACAAAUAAUCUAAAAAGGUUACUUUUGAGAAAGUUUAUUUAGCAUUUCUCAAAGGGGAAUCCAACUCGAUUACUAGGCACUAUAACUUGCGUAAAGGGGGAUGAAAAUGACUACUUAACAAGAAGAGGGCGAAGGAUAGUACCUUAUUAAGCCAUUAAGAUUACUGUUGUGUUUCUUUGAGCUCAUUUCGGAACAAAAGUGAACCUUUAUGGUGAGGUUGACGACUGUCAGUUCAUUCCAAUACCUUGGUCCUUGGUCGACACUCAAAUUAUUUUUUCCAAUUAAAUCCAAGUAAGUGACUAGACAGUAGAGUUCCUGCGGAAUUUUCUCUCUUAAUUUUCCUCUUUCUUUUUUUUUUUCAACAAGGGCUUUGGUUUCUUCUGUGAGAUAGAGGUUGUUGAUUGAUAGAUGUCUCUUACAUUUCUUUUGAGAGUAUUUGAUGCCAAUAAUUAUCCACUGAGGUUCUUUUUUGGAUAAAAUUUAUGGGGCCCCAAUUUAUCCAAUUUGAUAAAAGACUAACUGAAAUUAACAUUUGGUAUCUCUUGAAGGAUAAAUAUUUCAGUGUGUCAAAAACACGGUUAUGUAUAUCCAGUGUUAAUACAAAAGUGGUUGAAGUGUUUUUUCGAGGAUCUAACUACAUGUCUUAUGACAUUUUGUGUAUGUGUUUGGAUCCAAAAUUACACCAUCUGCCCAUCGAGACUGUUGAGUAAGCAUGGUUCUAGACCGUUGGAUAAGAAGUUAAGAUAAUUUUGUUUUGAGAUAAUGUUAUGGUUUUUAAUCAUAAUAAUUAUCUUUUGAUAAAUCAUCUUGAUUUUCUUAUACAAAAUAAAUGGGAUACAAAUCAUAGCCCCAACUCAGAAGCAAAAAGAACAAUCCAAAUUAAUUUGGAUUUGUUAGCAGUGCACCGUGUGAAGAGCAGCUUGGAUUGGGACUCCUAGCACUGAUGUGGUCAUGAUGGCUUUUGCAUUGCAGAUGAAAUAAGAAAAUAGUUGCGUGAUGCGGUAGAAGGUUAUUAUGCAUGCAUGGAUAGAUCAUUAAAAAGCCUAAAUAGGCCUAGCUUUUGGUGAUGAUGUGAUAAGCCUAGGAUUUGAUGGUCUUGAAUAGUGGUGAAAUAAGAAACCUAGGUAGGCUAGGCCUUUUUGCAUGGUGAUGGAAGUUAUCAAAUGAGUUUAAAGGCUUCUCAUGGAGGUUUUUUAUGAGAUAAGAAGCUUAAGUGGACUAGGUUUCUGAUGUGAUGUGAUAAAGCCUAGAUAGGCUUUAUUUUGUUUGAAAAGUCACGAAAUCUGAAGGAUAUGCCUUGGCAUUUGACACGGAUCAAUUUCAAUUCCGCGAGGUAGAGUUGCGGUUGGACUCUACAAAGUUAUCAAGCCGUGUGAAGCAAAAGACAGCCACUAUAAAUACAGAGUCGUAUGCAGCAUUGGGCCCUGCUCCAACUCAACACACAAACUGCUCUGCGCAAACCCUUGCUCUAUAUGAAACCUCUCAACAACCUUGAGAUUUUUAUUUUCCUUUUUCUCCAACACAUCUUCAGUUUCGAUAAACAGCACUGUGAAGAAAAUCGACUAACAUCUUUAGUUUGGAUAAACAGCACUGUUGCUGUAAAAUCAGCCGACCGCGAAACUACUUCAGUUUGGAUAAACAGCACUGCUACGAGGCCGACUGGUUAUCUAUCCAAGUCUCGGUCGAGAAGGAUUUUCAAAUUUUUAUUGGCAGAGGUCAUCUCAUUAGCCUUCUAGGUGAAGUGAGGUGUUACCAAGUUACUACAUUCGGCACACUGAGAGCCGAAUUUGAUAUUGAACUUCGUAGAACUAGCAUUCUUGUCUUCAGGCUCUAGAACCAUUCCUAGGAGAAGAGGAAGGUCCAUUCCCAGGUGGUGGGUGUUUUUGUUGCCUCUCUGGUGGAGCUCAGAGGUGAGAGGGAAGGUUUGUAGAGAAAGAGAGUGCGAGAGGUUUGAGAAAGGGAGAGAAGUGAGGAAGAAAGAAAGAUAGAGAGAGUGUGUACUAUGAGAGGGAGAACACAGGAGAGGGUAGAGAGGAAAGAGACCAGGAACCAAAAAGAAGGGGGGUCCCACCCGGCUCACUAUUUAAUAACCAAAAUAAUAUUUAAAAACGAGGGUGGAGUGUAACAUGGUCAAUGCAAACAUUACAGAUACAAAAAACCAAAGUCUUAUAGAGCUUCCUUAUACUAAUCACACAACAAAAAUUACGAACAACAAAACAUGAAAAAAAUGAAAAGGAUACGGCAAUGCAUCGUUGGUAGGAUCCAGACUAACAACUGCUAUUUUUCUGGUAACUAAAAAUGAUGAAAUGGUCAAUGCAAACAUUAUCGACAGAUUCAAAAACAAAAACUAAGGCCAAGGAAAAACUUGAAAACCAACAAAAACUCGAAAUCUUAUAGGAGUCCUAUCUUUCCACAGUUUUCCUUCUUCAAAAUAAGAAUAGAAACCUCUAAUUUGAGUGCCUACACAUAUAUACAUCGGAUAAAAAUCAAAAAUAAAAAAUUCGAAACACCACCAGAAAUAACAAAAAUGAUGAAAAAUAAACCAUAAAAAUUUUCAACAAAAAGUUUAAGACUUUAACUCACAGGAAAUCCUGUAACCAGUUGUAAGUGGAUGCACCCUCACUGGUGACCAAUUGCAAAGUGGCCCUUUUGCCCAGCUCUGUAACCAAUUGUAAAGUCGACUUUUUGCCCAGUUCACUACGGUUUCAUUUCAUUUAUUUUCAUUCGUAUGUAGAUAUAUUUGAAUCAUUGAUUGCUAUAUGAACUCUAGAAAGCCACGAAUGGGAGUUGGAGUAUUAAAGGACUCAACACUUACUAUUUAGUUUAAAUACUCUAUUUGCACGUCUGCAAGUAAGCUGAAUUCACAACCUAUGCCAAUUCAAGGUGUAGAGUUUCACCUUCUUCGGACCCAUAAAUGGUCGAAAAGUUCUAAAAUCAGCCAGAGAAAACUGGGAUCCUCAUCAGAAAAACCCACCAAGGUGCGCUUAUGGAACUCCUCGCCUUUUAAUCUGCAUUACCAGAACAAAAUGUAAAUUCACCAAUUAAAUGCGUAUAUCAAUUUCAUAAUGUAGUUUAUUACAAAGAUUAAGAAGCGAAAAUUACCAUAGCAGUAGUGGCAGCUCCAAAAAGGGCAAUGAGGGAUGGCACAGCUACUUGGCCAACUUAUCUGGCUAGGACUUCAAACACCAAAACCCCGUACAAUGCACAAAAGGAUGCUGCAAAAGAAUUAACAAAAGAAUAAUGAUCGCAAGAAACAGUUCAGUAUAACUUUAAAAACUUUGGGAAGUUGAUGGGGGCAUAAUCAUCAUAUACCAAUUGAUUCAUGUAUCGUGACCAUCCAUCCAAGCAAAGGCAUCUACAUACACUGCGGUAUGGUAGAUAUUUUAUGUGCUCCAGAUUCAUUAUCUGCAAAAUAUGCAUCUAUCGAACAACAUAGUAAGUCUUUAUCUUAACGGAAAAAAAGAAAUUACAAAAUUUAAACUUCGAUCUAAAAGUUAUUCAUUAAUUUCUUUAUAUAUAAGAAAUUAUUGCACAAAAUGAAUGUAUCCAGUUCACCACAGAGUAGUAAUCGAUUCUAAUUUGAUCUACAUGAUCGAAUAUGUGUGUGUGUACAUAUAUAUAUAUCUGCAUGUAUAUAUAUAGCCAUUGUAUGAAAAGCGCUAACAGAUUAAAGUGAUCUCUUAAAACUCGAUAUGGAGCAUCGUUCUCUUCCCAUGUUUGUAGGAUAUAUUACAUGGUUCCACUUCAAGCAUUCUGGCCAACAGCUAUGCGGUCCAUUAGACAAAUUAGAUGGUUUAGUAGGUCCUACAUCGUCAAUCUCUAGCCCUAUAUCAAUAUUGUGUAGUGGGGAACCUUUAUUUGAAUCAAGCAAUUCAUAGAUACAAAAAUUACUUAUAAAAUAACUUUGAAAGUAAGUAAAAAAAAUAUGUUCUAUGCCUAUUGCUUUUGCCGAACUAAAAAAAAAGUGGGAAAUGCUUGAAAUUGGCCAGAAAAAACUCGCAUCUUCAUCGGAAAACCCACCGCAAGCUGGGCUUAUUGUACUCUUCGAUAGAGGGGUAAAUUCGAACAUAAAAAGCUCGAGUCUUGUUGUUAGGACUCUUCUGAGUCCCGGGAGAACUGCGAGAGGAAAGAGAGAGAAGGGAUAAGGAAGAAUUAAAAAAUAAAAAAUAACAGUGCAUAUAUUAUGCGAUCCAGGGACACCAUUGGAAUAAGGUUAAAACUGUGAGGUUGAGACUCACCCAGAACUUAAGAAAUAACUGCAUAUAGUAUUAACACACAUAAAUGAUCAAUUGAAGAUCAUAUCAUGUGCAGCAAGCCAAAACAAACAAUUUGAAAUCAAACCAACCAAAACAAACAAAAGUCAUUUCCCAUGGAAGAUUAUCACAAAAUUGCAAGACCUAUACAAUCUAAAUAAAGUGGGUUCUACGGGGUGGAAGAAAGCAUAAAAGCUGCAGUGGAGCAAACCCGGGAAGGUAGGGUAGAGAAUACGCCACCGAGAGAACCUGAGAAUGGUGAAUGGAAGGAUGCAAAAUAUUGUAUACCAACAACAAAAUAUCGCAUAAACUUAGGAAUUGGAUCAUGCUUUUGAUUUUAUCUUUUACCUACAAACAAUCAUAUACAUAGUACUUUAUAUAUUUUUACCAAAAAACGUCCCUAAUAGGCUAAUAUAUGUAAUAAUACAUGAAAAAUAAUUUACCUACCAUGUAUACAAAAAUGUUAUUUGAUUCAAAAUAUAUAAUCCGGGUUUUCUAAUAUAUAUAUGGGUAAAUUACAUAAUACCCCCUCAGGUUUGAGGUCUAUUACAACCUCAUACAACAUCUUUAAACAUUUCACUUUCAUACAUCACCUACUAUUUUAUUUCAAUAUAGUACAUCCGUUACAUUUUUCAUUCAUUGAUCCGUUAAGAGUUGACGUGGUUGCCACAUUUGUGCCACAUGGCUGCCAAAUUUAUGCCACGUGGCAAAAAAUUAAUUUUUUUAUACAUUUAAAAAUAAUUAAUUAAAGAAAAAUUAUUAUAAAAAAUAAUAAAAUAAUAAUAAUCACUAGAACCCAUCUCCCUCUCCUGCACCCCACCCACCCUCCCUCCCGUCUCUUACCCCAUCCACCCUCCCUCCCUUCUCUUUCCACAGCCAACACCCAGAAGAACUCACACCCAUAAAAAUGACGCUCGUCUCCUCAGAUCCCACAGAGCCCCAUCUUUCUCCACAAUCCCUCACCUGCGUCAGAACCCUCGCCGGCACGGCCUCGUUUUGGCUUUUCUUCAACGCCGAGCACAGCGACAGCAGCUUCCGCCGUGUACUCCGUCACCCAUUCCGAGAUGGGUUGAGGUUCUGAUCUGGGUUUUUGAUUGGGGGUCCGAUUGAGAUUUGGAUCGGCUUGAAGUUAGAGAGAGAGAGAUGAAUGGAGUUGGGAGACAAUGGCAAAGAUCUGGUGCGGCGGGGGUGCACCACCAGCGGCAAUACUCUGAUAACUUCUUGGAGACUUCAUCCAACGGGAUAUGCUUCAGUCAGCUGGUCUUCAAUACCUUUCAUCUUCCAACUCAUUUGAUCCUCCUCCUCGGGUAUUUUUUUGCUUUCCCAAUCAAAUCUAUCCGAAUUUAAUCAAAACGUUGUAACAAAUCUGAAAUUUGGGUACAUUGUAAUAAUCAUUUAUUUUGUGGGAUAUGAGUAGGAGAGCACCAUUUUUAUGGGUGUGAGUUCUUUUGGGCGUCGGCUGUGGAGAGAGAAGGGAGGGAAUGAGGGAGGGUGGGUGGGGUGCAGGAGAGGGAUGUGACUCGGGGGGGGGAGAUGGGUUCUAGGGAUUUUUUUGUUUUUUUUUAAUUUUUAUAAUAAUUUUUCUUUAAUUCAUUAAUUUUAAAUGUAUAAAACAAUUAUUUUUUUUGCUACGUGGCAUAAAUUUGGCAGCCACAUGACACAAAUGUGACAGCCACUUCAGUUCUUAACGGAUCAAUGGAUGGAAAAUGUAACAGAUGUAUUAUAUUGAAAUAAAAUAGUAGGUGAAGAAUGAAAGUGAAAUGUUUUUAAAAUGUUGUAUGGGGUUGUAAUAAACCUCAAACCUGAGGGGGUAUUAUGUAAUUUACCCUAUAUAUAUAAUCUAGGUGUAGUGUAUAUAUAUAUAUAUAUUUAUAUAAUUGGAACAAAUUAAUUUACCUACCUACAAAUUAAUUUCCAAUAAUUUACCUACAAAAAAUUAUACCCCAUGUGUAAUAUAAUAUCUUUUUUUUCACUAAUACAUGGAGAAUAAUUUACACAAAACAAGAAGAAAUAUAUUUGAUGUAUUAUAUUGAAAAAUAUUAUGUCAUACCUAUAUUUAUACAACAAUGAAAUGUGCCUAAUAUAUGUAACAAUACAUGAAAAAUAAUUUACCUACAAGGUAGAUAAGUGUUAUUUGAUUCAAAAUAUAUAAUACGGAUUUAGUAUAAUUUUUUUUAAUAAUUGGAACAAAUUAAUUUACUUCCAAAUUAAUGCAAUAUAUAUAUCACAAAAAAGGUAAUUUUUUGGUAUGAUAAGGAUACAAUUAAUGCAAUACAACAGUUUAUAUAUUUUAUUUCACUUUUUCUACAACUUUUAAUUUAGAAUAAAUUUAGGGAUUUGGGAAAGUGGCAUGAGUGUAAAUAAAUUGUAUUAGUCGGUCAAUAGUGUUCCGAUGUGGCUGCAGAUUUUAAAUUUGGGCUUUUAUUGGACAUUUAUAUGUAUAUGAGUUUUUAUCUAGGAAUCAUGAAUUGUAAGGACCAAAAUCUAAAGCACCUUUUAAAAAAAAAAAAAUGAACUUGAGUGUAGAAGGGAGUGCACAUUAUUCUAACUAAUAUUCUUAUUUGCAAUAACAAAGGAGACAACUGCUCAUUUUAAAAGUAAAAAAAAAAAAAAAAAAGUACAUGUGCAUGCAAAUAUAUAAGACGAAAAAAAGUACAUGUGCAUGCAAUAUAUGUGAUGAACAAUACUUGGGUAUUCAAAGAUAAGUAGGAAUUUCUAUUCAAAAUUCUUAGUGUUUUAAUCACAGAGUUUUGUGCUUAUGAUCGGAACAGUUAAUACUAUGAAUCAUAUUGUAAAUAUCAUCUUUGCAAAAAAUAAAUAAAAACUAAGGUCCUUUAGUCAAUCUAUUGUAGUAAAUACAUAAACGGUUUAUAAUGCUUUUACCAAUACCGUUCAUUUGUUUUUAAAUAGUUUGAUAACUAAACAACCUUAGUUUUAAUUCAAUUUUUGCAAAGACGGUCUUUAUAUGAUGAAUAAUAAUAUGAAUAGUUCUGAUUAUAAACAUAAAAUUCUAUAAAUUGACAACGAACAAUUUUGAAAAUUUUUUAGUAGGAUUUACUACUAAUAGUAGCCAAGCAUUACAAUUCCAAAAAGUCGACCAGUUGUGUUUACGUGGCUGUCUAAAAUUCUACAUAUAUACACAAGCUACUACCAAACCAAGAAACAGAAAAAAGGACAGCCAUAUGUUAAGAUAACAUCAAUUUAUCCGAUCCAAGAAAGCCUUGAGAUUCUUGUCAGAAGACCCACCUUCACUCACAGCCUCUCUUGCCAAAUCUUUCCAUUUCUUAGCAUUCCUUCUCAUCUCUUCACCAAUCUCCCCACUUCCCAUGACCAACUCCAAACACCUUUUGAGCUCGUCACCCGUAACAAUCCCCUUCUCAUUUGGUGUCACCCUCAAUCCUGUCUUCCAAGCGUCCUCUAUCAACUUGGCAUUCGUUCCUUGGUCCGUCCACUGAGGAAACGCCACGACUGGCACCCCCGAAGCGAAGCUUUCCAAGCUUGAAUUCCACCCACAAUGUGUCACAAAGCAACCCAACGAAGGACUUGACAGAACCUCCACUUGACUACACCACGGCACUAUCCUCCCUAGCUCUUCCAAUUCCUCUCUGCAACUCAACAUCUCUUCUUCUUCCUUCGCCUCAUUAUCUUCUCCCUUCUUAUUGACUUUAUCUCUAAUAACCCACAAGAACGGACGGCCGCAAUCCAACAACCCUUUGGCGAUUUCCUCCAUUUGGGCCUUUUCCAACACACAAAUGCUUCCGAAGGACACAUAAAUCACCGACCCUUCCGGCUUCAAGUUCAGCCACUCCAGGUACGGAGAGUCCUUGGAUUUUUUGAGAAGAUCGCCUCCAAAUGACUUGUCCGAUGGAUCCUUGCCGUCCAAGAAAGUCGUCGGAAUCAAUGGCCCGACUCCAAUCAAAUUGUACUUUUCAGUUGCUUUUAAGGCUUCCGGCUCUAGUGCAUCGAACGUGUUCACUAGAAUGAUCGGGUUGGUUUCUCUCUCCAGCAGAUCCAUCUGUUCUUGAAACAACGGGAGGGCGAAAUUGUAGGGAUUUGUAUCCACCAUGAAGGAGGGAAGGUCUCGGCUUGUAAGAGAUAAUGGCAAACCUGGUAACUCUAUUGAACAUGGAAGGGCAUCGUUCGUACCAGAACUAGUAUUAUCCCGGAUGAGAUCUUUGAACCCGUUAAAGUAAUAGUAGUAGAUGUCGAAAACUGUGGCUGGUUGAAUCCAAAGCAGCACAUUUGGGAGGUGAAGUUCAUGCGCCACGUCCGCGGCCCAGGGGAGAAGUAUUGUGUAGACCAUGCAAGUGUAAGGGUGACCCUCGUUUUCACUUGAGACUACAAGGUCGGUGAUGGCUUGUGCUCCGUGGUGCCGCAACUCCGACAAGUAGUGGUCGAUGUUGUCUCCGGGCUUAAACCCGUCGUCGUAACCAUCAGAGAAGGGCGCAUAAGUCAAUCCAUCUGGAAUUGAGCCAUUGCCAAUGCGAUGAUGGGCUGAGAGACUGGUAAUGAAGGUGACAUGCGCACCUGUAGUGUUGAUAAGGCGCUUGGCGAAUUGGAGGGAAGGGUUGAUGUGGCCUUGAGCCGGAUAUGUGACAAGUAGAAAGCGGUGUUGCACCAUGGCAGCGUAUGCGAUUGCGGAGGUGCGCGGUGGAGCGUGGAGUUGUUGGAAGUAGAAUAAGUAGGUACCUAGUUUACUGGUGGAAAAUUUGGUGCUGUGGGCUUAUUAGCUUAGUGAAGUUGAAAUUCUUGUGGGAGUACGUAUUCAAGGUGGGGAAUGCGGUGAGAGAAUGGCAAGGCUUAAAUAGGGGUUUGGGGGCGGAAAUGUGACGUUUGUGGUGACGAAUUGAAGGCGCUGGUGACAAAGCAAAGAUGAGGACACUUGUGAUUUGUGGUCUUCUCGGUGCAUGCAUAUAAUAUUAUGGGUAAAGACACGCUCAUUACAUAUUUAUACCAUUAUUUGUAUCAUUUCUAUAAUAACGAUGCGAUCCACAUGUUUUGGUGGACUUUACCUCUGAGAGACUAUACAAAAUGUGAUAAGUGUAGCAUUAUUCCUAUUUAUAUCAUAUUUUGUAAAUCAUAUGAUGUAAUUGUUGAUGAUUUGAUUAUUACUUAAGCUUUGAUUAACGUAAUUAUUUUUUAUUAAUAACACAUCACAUAUAUAAUGUACAAAUUUAGUCUAAAGUUAAUCUACCCAACAUUACUCUUUUAAAAUUGGUUUCAUCAAACUUCGUAGCACAUCACAAAGACUAAAUCCAAUCUAAUGUGGUAGGAUAGACAAAUCAUCGAAAAACUGAUAAAUAUACUUGCUAGUGUUUGAAUUGUUAGUUUAUUAAUUAUUAUUUCGAUCUGGUUUGGUUGGCCGAAUAAUAUAUUAGGCCUCGUUAAGUCAGGAGUGAGGCCAUGAAUAAUUGGGUUCGUACUAAAGAGCCUACACGGUUCAUCAUGGAUGUGACCUUGAGGUCUUGUCUUCAAUACUAGAAAAAAACUCAGGACCAAGACACGAUCCGAUGGUGGCACGCUCCCGCACCCUAAAACUGAAGGGAAAGAGAUUAUUUCUAGAUUUCUUCCACCCAGUCUACCAAAUCCACUUAUUUGAAUUAUUGAAAUUUGAUCUAACAGUUAAAGUUAUUAUAACUUUUAAAGGGUCUUUCUGUUUGUAACCGUUGAAUCAAAUUUCAAUGGCUCGGAUAAGUGGACUUUGUGGACUUAGUGAAAGAGAUCCGGAGAGAAUCCCUUUUCCAAACUAAAGUCCUAAAACUAAAAGAAGGGCCAAAUUUGUUUCUUGUGAUCCUAAGCCGAAAGGAGACAUGUUAAAAUAUCUCACAUCGAUAUAAUGAAAGAGAAAAUAAGAGUUUAAAUAUUAUAAUUCUACUCCAACUAAUAUUGAGAUCUUUUGUGUUAAAAACCUCACACCUAUUAAACUGUGCAAGUGCUAAUUAACAAAUUGGAGACAAGAUCGAUAGUGUUGGAAGUAGAUCUUUAUCCGUUUUUUUAAUAAUUUGACAAAGCAAACAUACAUACGCUCCAUAUGUCGUAAUUUAGUACGAUAUGAAGCGUAAGAAAGAAAGAAAAAAAAAAAAGCAGCCAAAUAGUUUUGGUGAAAUGAAAUAUGAAAUAACCUCUACCGUGGGACUCAUACUCUAUUUUAUAUAGUCUAAUACUUUAGAUAUCUUUCAUCUUAUCAGUACAUUAUCCUAAAUUCCUAAUCCUGCUAAGAUUCCUAGUCAGACUAAACUUCCCUAACUAAGCUAGAUGGUUGUAGUAUUGUCUUCAAUCAAGCAUGCGUGAUGCGUGAUGAGUACAUAAUAAGGACUAGUAGGUUUGACGUGGUAAGAGAGACAAGGUGAAUUUAGUGACCACAAACUGAUUAAUACACAUACAAAUUUGUGAUUUCUCUAGGGCCCCGUUUAUCAUAUGCCGAAUUUGAUUGAUCCAGCUGCAUCACACUAAAAUUGAUUGGUCCAGCUGUAUCACACUAACUUUCGUUUGACAACAACGAUUGAUGACGUAUUUUAUAGGAGACGUGAGCAUGCCAAAUGUACAAAAAGUGUGGCAUGACCGUUGUCAUGCUUUUUGUAGAAUUUUUCAGAUCGACAGGCCAAAAGUCCAUUCCAAUAAUAUCGAUAUUGUUCCCACUUAACCGUUUGCACAAUCCUCAGGUGUGGGGUUUUAUCACAAAAUGUCUUGGUGUUAGUUAGAGUAGGGUAUUUCUAUUUAAAGUGCUUUCUUUCUUGGCUUUUAGUUCUACUCCAGCAACAGCACGCUUGCUUUGUGGCUAUUGCCUCAUUUUCUUGUACUGUUGUUGACCCUAAAAACUAUCAAACUUACGUGAUGUGCAUGCCGAGUAACUAAGAACUAACUAUGUCCUUCUUGUGGUUGAUGCGGGUGUGCCACCUUGCCGCCGAGAUGAAUUGGGCGAGUGCAAUAAGUGUGGUGGUGGUGUCAAUUGCGUAGCUGGCUUCUAGACCUAGGGUUUUGCUAACUUGAAGACAAUGUUGCUAAUCUCACAGUGAAGUUCAAUCAAGAUUCGGCUUUCGUUGUGCCAAAGGGGUAACCUAAGAACACAUCACUUCGUUGAAGCUGAUGAGAUGAUCUCUUGAGACAAAAGAAUAGAGAAUUCCUUGUCCGCCGAGACUUGAAUAGAUAACCAACAAGGAUAUGAGAGUUGUUUAAAGGUCUCUUCAGUCAGGCAUGUUCUACGCCUCCAAUGCUGUUUAACCAAACUGAAGGUGUCGCCGGUUGUUGAUACAGUGAUGUUUAACCAAACUAAAUAUUUGUCAACAGGGAGGGGUUAAUGAGUAAUUAGUAUUUUUUUUCAGGUUGUGGAGGGUAUCUCAUAAAAGCGUUGAUUUUUGUAUGAGCGACUACAGGCGAGGAAGGAAUGCCUCUAGACCUAGGGCUCUAGAACCUAAACACAAGGUUGCUUAAUUCACUGCGAAGUUGAGGAUAUUUUGCACCAGGUUCGGCAACUUCAACUAUAUCCUUGAAAAUAUAAGUAUGCCAAAUAGGUAUUAGGCUAUAAGGACAAAGAUACUCAAAUGAAAUGAGAUCUUUAUGGUGAAUGUUGUUCAGCAGUCUGAAUGUCGAACUUCCAAAUACACUUACAAGUAACUAAUCAUAGAACAUCUCACUUCGCUAGGGGAGCUAAUAAAGUGACCGCUUUCAGCGAAAGUAUCAAAGACUCAUCGUUGGCUGAGACUUGGAGGUAGCCAACUAAACCAGAAGUAGUACUGUUUAACCAAAUUGAAGGUACUCCUAGGCCGCCUAAUUCAAUGGCUCUAGUGACUUUUAGCCGAACUGAAUAUGUUUCCUAUUAGCCAACCCAAUGAUGUUUAAACGAAGUAAAUAUGUACUGACAGAGGGAUUAUGAUAAUUGGUAUUUUUCUGAAGAUUGUGAGAAGAGUUUCGGGAAGAACGAGGUUCUUUGCGUAACCCGUUUGAGCUGUUUGUUGAGUUGAAAGGGAAUUUUCACGUUGCAUAGCCUCUCAUAUUUAUAGGACGGCAAUGCUUCGGCUAACAGGUUCCGAAACCAAUUAGAACUGCAGCAUGCUCCUGGAGCUUUAUCCCAUUUUACUUGCUAACUAUCUGAUGCUUAAGUCCAGAUAACAUCUCAUGAGAAACAAUUCUCAUUUGGGGUCAUGUGCAUGAGGCCUACUUCCCUCCUAAGAUGGGACUCUAUCAUUAGUUACAUGGAAGAUAUCAUAUCCUUUGCCCCGACACGUUGCAUGCAUAUCCACAUAAGUUACAAAUAACAAACCUAUUUGAUGUGCUUCUCACCGUGCCCAUCUUAAUAGUCAUUUAUCUUCUUUGAAUUUGUAGAAUUGGAAAGCAAUCACACUGCUCAUAAACCUCAAAUGCAGCUCGUGCUGAAAGAGAGUCCAUAACUCCUGGAGCUUUAUUUCUCCCCCGAGUCCAUCGUCAGUGAAACCGUGGUACACAAAGGAAAGAGGAUGCUCUCCGGAUCCUCUUGAUGGGGAUCCUAAGGAUCUUCACAUCUUAACCGUUUAUCGUACGUUCAGUUUUCAUCAGGUACUAUUUGUGUUUGAUUGUAAAUAAAAAAAUUCAAAUAAUUUCUAGCUGCACGAUAUACGAUGAAUGACUAAGAUGUGAGGAUUCUUAAGAUUUCCACCAUUUGAAUCUAGAUGGAAUCCAAAUCUUACUAAAUGAUAGGAUGAGACAAAAUUGUAGCUGUGUUGGAGAAAGAGUGUCAACUUCGCUUUUGUUGCAUGCGGGACAAAUUGUGUAAUAUUGGGUCCAAACAAGUUUACUCUAAAAGACAGAGUGAAACUGUGAAUAGAAAGAGUGCCUCCUCAACCGGUUUACCAUCGGCCACAUGUGAUCAUUUGCAUGUCUUAUGAUGCUAAAAACAAACAAGAAUAAACAGAAAAACCCCAAAUUUUCAACAAGAUAGCGACGUAGCACUACAUGGUUUCCUCUUGGUAUAUAAGCCAAACUACAGAAAAAAUAAACGUCAUCCAUGAUGAUAUCUGAAAAAUCAGACUGCAACCAAAAUUUACAAUACAUCUUUUAGCUUGUCUUUUGCUUUGCAUAUCACGAAAAACAUAUAUACACCUCACAGCAAAUGAAAUUAUAGCACGUGUAUAUUCAUUCUGGAUAAUACGGAAGAGUUCAAGAGGCUACAUGAGGGAUUUAACUAAGUUGAGCAGCUAUGCACUCAAAAUUAGCUAAAGGGGAUGAAAGAAGGGGAAAACGGUUAGGAUUAUGAUAAGUAAAUAGUGCAGUUCUUUUCUAAUGUCAUAAAAAAAAUACAAAAAUAUUUACGACUAUAAUAAAUAAAUAGUUCGUUGAUCAUUUUCUAGCGUAAACGAUUGAUCCUGGAACAUCUCAAUAAUCAAAUCUAAAGCUGAAGAGGUAGAUGUUGUGAUUCUUCAUCAGUCCUAGCAAGGUUAUAAUGCGCCUAGAGGAAAAUCAUUUUUUAUUUUAAAUGAAUGUUUUUAUUAUCGAGCAAUCUAUCUCCUACCUCCAAAUUUGUCAUAUUUUUCCUUUAUUCUUUCUAACUUACCUUAAAAAUAAUAACUCAUGUAUUUCAAUUCAUUUCUCUCUGCCAAAUGAGCCUGUAGUUACUUGAGAAACGCUAAGAAAACUCUUUCAAAGUGAGACUAUUUAUGCACUAUCUGUCACUUCACUGUUUAACGUCAAUUCUCAUGUCAAUAUUAUAAAAUAUUAUUUUAAAACAUGAGGUAACAAAUAAUCUAAAAAAAUUACUUUUGAGAGAAUCUGUUUAGCAUUUCUUAUAGUAACUUAUUAAACCAUUAAGUAUCUUUGAGCUCAUUUCGGAACAAAUGUGAACCUUUAUUGUGAGGUCGACUACUGUCAGUUCAUUCCUAUACCUUGGUCCUUGGUCGACGCUCAAAUUAUUUUUUCCAAUUAAAUCCAAGUAUAAGUGACUCGAGCAGAGUUCCUGUGGUAUUUUCUCUCUUAAUUUUCCUCUUUCUUUUCUUUUUUCAACGAGGGCUUUGGUUUCUUCUGUGAGAUAGAGGUUGUUGAUAGAUAGAUGUCUCUUCCAUUUUUUUUGAGAGUAUUUGAUGCCAAUAAUUAUCCACUGAGGUUCUUUUUUGGAUAAAAUUUAUGGGGCCCCAAUUUAUCCAAUUUGAUUAUAGAUUGACAGAAACUAACAUUUGGGAUUUGUUGAAGGAUAAAUAUUUCAAUGUACCGAGAACACAAUUAUGUAUAUCUAUUGUUAUUACAAAAGUGGUUGGAGUUUCUUUUCGAAGAUCUAACUACAUGUUUUAUAACAUUUUGUGUAUGUAACUGUAUUUCUCUUAUAUUGAAAAAUCUAUCAUAUUAGUCUAGAGCCCGGAGCAUUAUCGGUAUGAAAAAAUGGACAAAGUACUACAAUAUUCUAGAGAAUUAGAACCAUAUCUUAUGGGUUUAAAUUUACAAUCGUGUUUUAAUUUUAAUUUUCUGUCAUUCAAUGGAGUAGUGGGCCUUCAAAUAAUAAUAGAGUUCUUGCUCAAAAAUGCAGAUUCAUUUAUUUUAGGGAGGCUUUAAAUUCGAUCUCCAGUCAUUAACACUCUUUAAUUAAAAUCUUUAUGGUAUAUAAUUUUUUUUUUUUUUUAUCAAAGUCCAUUGACUUUGUACACGUCGUUAUAUUACUAUUAGUAUGUAUAUUUCUAUAUGGGAUCAUGCUAGGGAAAUCAAAUUUUUAAACCAAAUUGCAAACCAAAUGAUGUGUCAUCUCGUUAUAUUCCCUAAACCAAUAAGAAACAAACACGUUAAUCGAUACUUAAUUAAUAAUUUAAUCAUAUACAACCACAUUGUGACAAACCGUCCCUAAUUUUACAAUUUUAUAAAUUUUAAAGGCAUGAUUUUACAAAAAUACCCUUAGAAGUGAGGGUGUUGACUUUCGUUGAUCAAUGUAUAGUGAGACAUACGACUUAUUCUUUCAGCGUAUUUUGCGUAGUACCUGUUGAUACGAACGCAUAGACACAAGCGGAAGUGAACUUGGAACUACGUUUAAAGUUUUACGGAGCUACAAAUCCGAAAAGUACGUUUCUAAGGAUUUCCAUUAUUUAUUAUUUUAUACUUUCAUAAGUAUUAUUAAAUUAGUUUAAGGUUAUCUUGUGGAAAAGAAAAAAGAAAAGAGAAGAAGAAGCUGCAUGAUGGUAGCGAGUAAAAUGAGAAAAAGAAAAAGGAGGAACAAAUCGAGGAGCUGCCCAAUCAGGAGAAAGGGAAGAAAGAGGGAGAGACCAAUCAGAAGAAGAAAGGAAGGGAAGGGAGAGAAGUGUGAUGUACAGGAUCGGAUUCCCGACCCAUUUUGGUUCGACCCAACUGGCAGUAGCACCAAGUGUCUAGAGCCAUUCAUGGCGUUUUUCGGUGGAUUGCAGACACCCACCAUCUAGAACCAACUCAUCAUCAUCUCCUCUUCCAUAUUCAGCCAUAAAUCAACACGAAUUGAUCACGUUCUUGUGAGAUAGCACUAGAGGGGUUCGCGAUGUACGGUGGCGAAAUCCACCAUUUCUGAAAUGAAUACCUUCUAUCUCCACCACUAUUAGACUCUCCUUAAGCCUUGGAACAAAGCCCAAUUGGUUGUAGGGGCGUCGGAACACCAUGGAAGGUGAAUCGAAGAACACCCAUUCUAGGGUUUCCGUCGGGUGCGAGCCAAAUUGGAGCCUUUCUCGGUCAAAUUGGGCUUGGCCACAGGCGAUGAUGGUUUGUGACGCCUCAAUAUUCGUGCUAGAGAAUUGUAGCGCGGACUUCAGGUGAGUGGGUCUUUUCUUUUUAUAAUAUAUAUAUAUAUAUAUAUAUAUAUAUAUAUAUAUAUAUGAUUGAUAGUUCCACAAAUGCUUUUAAAUUGAUUUAUGCAUUUUAUGUCAUGUCAUAUAUAUAUAUAUAUAUUUUAAAUACUAUGAUAUAGUUGAGUUUUAGAUUGCAUCAUGGCAUAUCUAUAUGCAUAUUACCUGCAUAUAAUUGUUGUCUUUGAAGUGCUAUGGUGAAUGCGGGACGCGUAGGUAAGUUCAGGUGAGUUUAGGGUGUUAUUUGAAAUGAUUGAGUUAUGGCAUGACUAUAUUUAUGUUUUAUGCAACUCCGACACUGUCGUACAGGUUGCAAUGAUGGGCAACUCCGGCACUGUCGUACAUGUUCCAAUGAUAGGCAACUCCGGCAUUGUCGCACAAGUUGCAAUGAUAGGUAACUCCGACACUGCGGCACUGUCGUACAUGUUGCAAUGAUAGGCAACUCCGGCACUGUCGCACAAGUUGCAAUGAUAUUGAUUUAUGAGUCGUAUAAGUUGCAUUAGGUAACUCUGACUCCUGUGUCAGCAUAGAUUGAUGAACACCUGAUUUUAUUAUGUUGCUGUUGAUAUGUAGUGAUUUGGAAUAUUUUUGGAUUUAUUGUUGUUUUGCAUUUGAUUUCAUACUAUAACGUAGUAUGACUUUCUGGAAACUAUAUGGGUUUUACAGCGAGGGGUUAUAAUGUUUUCAUAAGGUUUUUAUUAAAAUUUUAUUUUCAGGCCCACUCACCCUUGUUUUUUGCCCCUCCAGGUUUUAAUAGGUGAGCUUUCUUAUCGACGAGGAUUUGUGGCAAAUCUUGGUAUUGGAGAUUACCUUCAAUGGUAUGAUUCUCAAUCCACUCUACUGUACUUUACUUAUGCUCUGACGUCACGUGUGAAAUGAGUUCAUUCUCGCUCACAAUGCAUUCUUGUAUUUUGGCAGUUUUAGGUUUAAAUUUAUUCACAUUUUCCACAUCACUACACUUUAUGGCUUCGUCACCUUGUAGGUGUCGGCCAUUAUAGCUUGAUUCGGAGUCCUAGUGGACAUUUCGGGUCGGGGUGUGUCAACAUCAUUUGGUUUGCAAAUUUGAUUUAAAAAAUUUGGUCUCUCUAGAUUACCCUUCUAUAUGUUUGACAUUUUAUGAGAUUUAUGAUCCCAUAUUGUGUGUAUAAUAUGACAUACAAAUGUCAAAUUUAAAAUCCCUCUUUACAUUACUAUUAGAAAUGGCUACAAUAAAAAAUUUUCAAAAAAUUUGAUUGAAUAAAAAGUAACAACAUAACAAUACAAAAUAAUAAAUGGCAAAGGAAUGUAUUCAUAGCAUUAAAAAAUUGGUACAUUUUAAAUAUAAAAUUUUACAAAAAAAAAGGGUAUUUUUUACAUAACAAAGUGGUACAUUUAUAAAGAAGAAUGGGUACAUUAUAAAUAACUUAUGGGUGCAAAUAAAAGAUUAAAAAGUCAUGAGUACAAAUGAAAUUUUAAAAAAUAUGGGCUCAAAAAGAAAUUAAUAUAUGGGUACAAAUUAAAAUUAAAAAGAAAACUAGUACAAAUUAAAAAAAAAGGGCUGCAAAAUAAAAUAAAGUACAAAUUAAAAACAGAAAUAUAUGAUUUAAAUUUUAGUUAUAAAUUAAUAUAAUAUAUCAAAUGUAACGUCACCACCCGUCCCGAAUUAUUUUAUCGAUAACGUGGAAAUUCCUUUUAUACCCUUGAGCGUUGUGUGAUGUCGUGUGUUAUGAGUUUUAGAUGUGGACCAAAUAGGUUAAGUUCUAAUUGUUUGAACCCGAUUAGAACUAAGUUUUCAUUAUUUUUUAUUGGUGACAAGCUAGACCACACCCUCACACACACACAUAACUCACGUGUACCCUCUCUCUCCUCCCUCUCCUCCCUCUCUCGGAUUUUCUUACCAUUUUACAACUUAUAUGGAUAACCCUCAAAACCCUUUCAAACUUCACAGAUCGAGGUUGUGAUUGGUGUUUUUGGACUCCUUGCAAGCUCAGGAGUCGAAUGGUGGUGGUGGUUGGACGUGAAAACCUUGAAAACCCGAGAACCCAGAAUCUCAGAUUUUGAGCACUGUUCAUGCAGUCAUCAUCGUGGCCUUUUCUUCUAGUUUUAAGGUUCUAGAAAGCUUUAGGACAUCUUCACGAAGCUCAGGGAAGAAAGUUUGAGUGUUUUGGACGUCGAGAAGCUUAGUUUGAUGAGUUUCAAAUUUUGGCUGGAUUAUCGAGGUUUCUCCGACAAGGUUCCGUGGGAUUUAGGGCUUAAAAUUGGUAAGGUUUUGUUCUACUCGUUGUAAGCUUCAUUUUGGUACAAAUUUCAUGAAUUUUGGUUGAGAAAUGGAGAAGAUAUUGAAGUUCUAAGAUUUUUCUAGUUUCUGGCGAUUGCAGCAGUACCGGCGUCGGACUCCAGUGAACCAAGGAAAAAGGAGGAGAAUAUUCCGUCAAAGUUGACGAAAUAUUCUAACGCCGUCAGGUAAUUCUAACGGUAUAUGUUGUUUUUAACGGAAUAUUCCUAAUGCCAUCAGGGAAUCCGUUUGGUGUGACAGGCACGUGCUUGCGCGUGAGCCGCGCGUCUGGUCCUGCCUUGGCCGGCGCAUGAGGGCGCGUGGGUGUUCAGAAAUUUUUUCUAAAAAUAUGGGGAUGUUCUUGAGGUUGAGUAGGUUAUGGUGGUAUAUUCAAAUACCCCAUUUGAGCAAUGUAUGAGAAGUUAUUUCCUAGUUUUGUGUAUGUGCUUUAAAUAAUGUUUAUUUAGUUAUUUUGCAUAUAGGUGAGACCUAUCCGGAGGACGAGCGCCAUCAAUCGAGGCUCGGGGGCUACGACCCUUUGACAUAUCAGUGAGUGGGCUUUUGGUUUUCAGUAUAUACCUAUAUACUUGAGAUUUUUCCUAGAAAAUGAAUUUGAAUGAUUAUACGUUUUGAAAUGCCAUGCAAAGUAUCUGCCUAUUUUAUUUAUGCAUUAGUAGUUGCAUAUAUUUAUGAUUGGUGCUGCGGACGCACAGGUAAGUGCCAGGUAAGUUCAUAAAUUAAAGAUAAGAGAUUACUUCAGUUAUGCGAGAUAUGAUGUGAUGUAUUGAGAGCUCAUAAACUUGCACCCCGGUGUUAGUGCUCCCGCCCAUAGUUAGGGCACAAUCCUUCAUGUGAUUGUUCACCUCCCACACCAUAUGCUCACCUUGGAUCCAAGUUAGGUGCACAGGCUUGUCGUACAGACCACUUUAGGUGGUUCCGACUGGUAGGUGACCCGCGAUCAUUCACACAGUCUUCACGUGAUCGUAGCACUAAAGCAUAUUUAUUUUACACCUAGUCCUGUCGUACAGACCACUUUAGGUGGUUCCAACUCUUGUGCAUAAUUUGAUAUGGUUGAGAUUGGUUAUGAGAUAUAGACUCAGCCGUGCAAAUUAAUUGAGGGCAAUUCGGCUGAUAUGAUAUCUGACAUUGAUAUAUUUUAACUGGAUUACUUAUAGCAUUUCAUUGAGAUACUUUGGCAUGGUAUAUUUCUAUGGAUUUUUAUCCUGAGCAUAAUUUCUGAUAUAGCAUAUAUUAUAUUUCUGGGAAAUUAUACAGGUUUUACGGCAAGGGAUUAGAACUUUUGAGAAAUGAAAUGAUUUUGAAAAGCUUUGUUUUUGCCCACUCACACUUUCUGUUUUGCGCCCCUCUAGGUUUUAGGUAGAAGUGCUUUGGUGGCUCACGGGGAUUUCGGCGGUGGUUCUGACAGAACAUCACAAAUGUAGGAUUACCUUUGGGUGUUAUAUAUCUAGUACUUGUCCAGUGGGAUUGCACUUAGGCUAUUUACGCUCUGAUGAUGUAUUUCACACUUAAUCUCGCACUUGUACCUUAUCUUAAUUAGUACUCUAGUUGAUUUGAUUUUUGUUAAUUCGUAUUUCCUUAUAUCUUUAUUGCUUCCGUACUGUGCACAUGGCUACGUCAUCUUCAUGUGACGACCAUCAUACCUCGAUUCAUGUCAGGGUGUGUCAUAACGUUUCUAACACCAAAUGAAUAUAUUUUAGAAAUAAAAUUUAAUUAUGCUACUAUGUAUAUUUUAUUAUUGAAAUGAUGACGGUCAUUAAAACCUAAGAACCUUGAUAAAAAUUAAAUUGCAAAAAGAAAAAAAGGUUUUAUUCUCAAAAAAAUCAAUGAAAUAGAAAAAAGAGGGAUGGAAACCUAAUUUCUCCAUCAACUUACUUCAAGAUAAUAAAAUUGAAAACUGUGUUAACUAUGUUGGCAUGUGAUUUAGACUACUAAGAAUCAAAAUCAUGUGUUUUAAAAGGGAAAUGUUUUUGCACUCUAGAAAUCUUAUUCUAAACUCAUCAUAAAUGCAUUUUGCUUUCUAAUUAUAGACGAUUUGGAGUGUAAUAUGAGAUUUUUGAAGUGCCAAUAACAAUUCCCUUUUAAAAUUCUUUAAAUAGAAAUCACAAACUUGGUGUCAACUUCACCAAUGGACAGAAUACUUCAUUAAACAAAUCCAAAUAGACACAGUACAACUUGCAACUAGCCUUUAGAAAGGAUUGUCAUACAUAAAAGGAUGCCACUUUUGUAAACAAAGCAUGAGUAAUAGUUCUUCUCUGCAACAUUUACAAAACAGUAAAUAAAGGAAAUACGUAAAAAGGUUUCAACUCAAAAAGAAAAAUCCUCCUUAUAGGUCCAAGAGUGGCUAGUAGAGAAAACCUAGAGACCUAAUUGAGGGAUGAGAUGUUGUUGAUGCCCUAGAGACGACCAACCACCCACACCACCAAUUUCGCACCAUAAAAUAGACCUCUAGAUAGUAUCAUAUACAGACUUUCAAAAGCCCCAAAUAAUAAAAAAGCUAAACCACAAACAUACAACAUUAUAGCACCCAUCACAAAACUCAGAUUUAUCACCAAUUAACCUACUGUUCGAUUGGAGCAAAUUUGUAAGAAUUAGAACUUAAGUGCAGAUGGGAUAGCACAUUACGAUCUAAUUCUUAUUUGCAAUAACAAUGGAGACAACAACACAUUUUAAAAGUAAAAUGAAAAAGUAAUUUUUUUUUGUCGAAAAGAUAGAAAUUUAUUAAAGCCAAACGAUAAGGUUUACAUCAACUGCAAGAAUAUUAAAUAAAUAAUCCGAGCCAAUCUUAUCCCAAAGGAACUUGCCACCAUAAUUGGUAGCAAACGAAGCCACCUCAUGGGCAGCAAAGUUACUAUCCCGCGGAACAAAUCCAAACUUUACAAAAGUCGACCAGUUGUGUUUACGUAGCCGUCUAAAUUCUACAUCUAUGUAAACUACUACCAAACCAAGAAACAUAAAAAAGGACAGCCAUUUGUUUAAGACAACAUCAAUCUAUCUGAUCCACUGUUCUAAAAAUCCCUGCCUAGGCGCUAGGUGGCCGGCCACCGCCCCAAUUAAUGCUUAGGCAUUUGAAAAUUAAGAAAGGGCACCUAGACCUACUAAGGAGCCUGUCUAGACCGCCUAGCCCGCCCAGACCUGCCUAGGUUGCGACUCACUUACAGAAAAUAGAUAACUUUCACUUUGCAUUUUAUAUUUUCAAUAAAUUGUAAGAGACUUGUUGAAUACUUAAAUGAACACACAUUAUAUGCUUAUUCCCACUUUUCAUUAUGUUCCAACCGCUCAUAAUAGAUAUGUCAUUCUAUUUUGUUGUUUAUGAUGACAUCAUAUAUAUUUUAAGCAUAAACAUACACUUACUUACACGAAAUAUAAUAGAUUUAAUCGAAUCCGUCUAGGCGCCUGCCUAGACACCUAGCCGCGUAGUUGCCAGGCCCCAGGUCCUAGGCCGCCACCCGACUAGUGCCUAGCAUCUUUUAAAACCUUGAUCUGAUCCAAGAAAGCCUUGAGAUUCUUGUCCGAAGAGUCCCCUUCACUCACAGCCUCUCUUGCCAAAUCUUUCCAUUUCUUAGCAUUCCUUCUCACGUCUUCACCAAUCUCCCCACUUCCCAAUACCAAAUCCAAGCACCUCUUGAGCUCCUCACCCGUAACUAUCCCCUCCUCAUUUGGUGUCACCCUCACUCCUGUCUUCCAAUAGUCCUCUAUCAACUUGGCAUUCGUCCCUUGGUCCGUCCACUGAGGAAACGCCACCACGGGCACCCCUGAAACCAAGCUCUCCAAACUUGAAUUCCACCCACAAUGUGUCACAAAGCAACCCAACGAAGGACUAGAGAGAACCUCCACUUGACUACACCACGGCACUAUCAUCCCGAGCUCUUCCAAUUCCUCUCUGCACCUCAACAUCUCUUCUUCUUUCUUCGCCUCGUUAUCGUCUCCCUUCUUGUCGACCUUAUCUCUAAUAACCCACAAGAACGGAAGGCCGCAAUCCAACAACCCUUUUGCGAUUUCCUCCAUUUGGGCCUUUCCCAACACAGAAAUGCUUCCGAAGGACACAUAAAUCACCGACCCUUCUGGCUUCGAGUUCAGCCACUCGAGGUAUGAAGAGUCCUUUGAUUUUUGGAAAAGAUCGCCUCCAAAUGACUUGUCCGAUGGAUCCUUGCCGUCCAAGAAAGCGGACGGAAUCAAUGGCCCAACUCCAAUCAAGUUGUACUUGUCAAUUGCUUUUAAGGCUUCCGGCUCUAGUGCAUCGAACGUGUUGACUAGAAUGGUCGGAUUGGUUUCUCUUUCCAACAGCUCCAUCUGUUCUUGAAACAACGGGAGGGCGAAAUUGUACGGAUUUGUAUCCACCAUGAAGGAGGGAAGGUCUCGGCUUGUGAAAGAUAAUGGCAAACCUGGUAAUUCUAUUGAACAUGGAAGGACAUUGUUCGUACCAGAACUAGUAUUAUCCCGGAUGAGAUCUUUGUACCCGUUAAAGUAAUAGUAGUAGAUGUCGAAAACCGUGGCUGGCUGAAUCCAAAGCAGCACGCUUGGGAGGUGAAGUUCAUGUGCCAUCCCUGCCGACCAAGGGAGAAGUAAUGAGUAGACUAGGCAAGUGUAAGGGUGACCCUCGUUUGCACUUGCGACUACAAGGUCGGUAAUGGCUUGUACUCCGCGGCGCCGCAGCUCUGACAUGUAGUCGUCGAUGUUGUCGCCGGGCUUAAACCCAUCGUCGUACCCAUCAGAGAAGGGCGCAUAGGUCAAUCCAUCUGGAAUUGAGCCAUUGCCUA